AGUGUAAAUUUUUGACCAAAUUUGUAAUAAAUUCUGAAAUCUGGGCCAAAAAAGUAAUUUUUGAAAAUUGGAUGACCUGUUGACCGGGUGAAAUGGUUAAAUUAAAUACGAUUACCGGUAUUUGGGACUUAAUUGAAUAAAAAAAAUAUAUAUAGGGACUAAAUCGAUUAUGAGGCCAAUAUCUGGGGACUUUAUUGUAGUUUUCCUAUAUAUAUAUAUAUGACUUGAAUGCGUGCUUAAAUAAUGCAUCUGGACUAUUUACCAAUUUUUAAUGUGGUUUGGUUUUAUUACUCAGCGAUUAGAAAGAAUAAACAUCACCUGUUCUUGAGGGCACCAACUAGUCACCAUGCCUCUCCCUUUUGUCUCGUCAACAAACUCUGGUGGCAUCAUGGCCUCAUUGCCUCCGACAAUGUCGGGCCUUGUAAUCCACAAGAAAUCUUUCUUGCUAUUCGCCAGUCCCCACCCAAACUCGAUGAGUUGUUCUUUUGUCAUGACUGUAAUGCUUCCAAAGUUAACGUAAACAACUGAGCCAGGGUCUUUUGUGUCAAGCCAACUGAUGCAACUCUCAUCUUCCUUCCAGAGGUUGGACCCAAUGUGUUUGACCUGAUCAUUUUCAAUAUGUUGUUGCAUCAAGUGUAGUGGGCCUAUGGUGAAGGUUCUUGGAUUUAAGACAAUUAAAGGGUUAAGGCUAUCUUGUUCUAAGGCGUCGAAAGUGUUAAGCACGACAGUCGAGCCUCUAGGGAUAGCUGCAGCCUCAGUUAUGAAAUAGUUCAACAUGGUGUCAUUUAUGUCUGUGGUUCGAAUGAAACUGGGGAAAUCCUUUAAUUGGUAAUUGGAUGCUAUUCAUUCCAGGGAUCCAAUCUAAGCUUGUCUCCAAAUACCCAUUUGUUACCUCGCUCAUAUCUGUAUCAUUUCAAUAGUUACUUUUCAUGAGUAUCUAUAUGUACGUAGAAAGGUAAAACUAAAUUUAUUUGUCGGAAAAUAAAUAACUUUUAUACAAACUUAAUAAAAUGGUAACGGUGUAUAUAAAGAGAUUAGAAAAAUGCACAUAUGCAAAAAAAAAAAAAAAAAAAGUGUUUAUUAUCGUUUUUAUAAAAUCUAUUGACAACAUAUAUAUAUAUAUNNNNNNNNNNNNNNNNNNNNNNNNNNNNNNNNNNNNNNNNNNNNNNNNNNNNNNNNNNNNNNNNNNNNNNNNNNNNNNNNNNNNNNNNNNNNNNNNNNNNNNNNNNNNNNNNNNNNNNNNNNNNNNNNNNNNNNNNNNNNNNNNNNNNNNNNNNNNNNNNNNNNNNNNNNNNNNNNNNNNNNNNNNNNNNNNNNNNNNNNNNNNNNNNNNNNNNNNNNNNNNNNNNNNNNNNNNNNNNNNNNNNNNNNNNNNNNNNNNNNNNNNNNNNNNNNNNNNNNNNNNNNNNNNNNNNNNNNNNNNNNNNNNNNNNNNNNNNNNNNNNNNNNNNNNNNNNNNNNNNNNNNNNNNNNNNNNNNNNNNNNNNNNNNNNNNNNNNNNNNNNNNNNNNNNNNNNNNNNNNNNNNNNNNNNNNNNNNNNNNNNNNNNNNNNNNNNNNNNNNNNNNNNNNNNNNNNNNNNNNNNNNNNNNNNNNNNNNNNNNNNNNNNNNNNNNNNNNNNNNNNNNNNNNNNNNNNNNNNNNNNNNNNNNNNNNNNNNNNNNNNNNNNNNNNNNNNNNNNNNNNNNNNNNNNNNNNNNNNNNNNNNNNNNNNNNNNNNNNNNNNNNNNNNNNNNNNNNNNNNNNNNNNNNNNNNNNNNNNNNNNNNNNNNNNNNNNNNNNNNNNNNNNNNNNNNNNNNNNNNNNNNNNNNNNNNNNNNNNNNNNNNNNNNNNNNNNNNNNNNNNNNNNNNNNNNNNNNNNNNNNNNNNNNNNNNNNNNNNNNNNNNNNNNNNNNNNNNNNNNNNNNNNNNNNNNNNNNNNNNNNNNNNNNNNNNNNNNNNNNNNNNNNNNNNNNNNNNNNNNNNNNNNNNNNNNNNNNNNNNNNNNNNNNNNNNNNNNNNNNNNNNNNNNNNNNNNNNNNNNNNNNNNNNNNNNNNNNNNNNNNNNNNNNNNNNNNNNNNNNNNNNNNNNNNNNNNNNNNNNNNNNNNNNNNNNNNNNNNNNNNNNNNNNNNNNNNNNNNNNNNNNNNNNNNNNNNNNNNNGGUGGCGGUUGUGGUGGUGUAGAUGUGGCGGAAGAGAAAGAAACAGGCAAAGCUAUAUAACUUUCAUGAUUAUAACAAGUUUGUCAUGCUGGUAUACUACCGAUGGUUAGAGUGGUUGAUGUGAAAUAUAAGAGUGAGGUUGAAUUCAAAGAUUUUUAUUUUUUUUAAUGUCCACGAAACCUAUANAGAUUUUAAGUCUCGUCUAGAACAUAUAUAAUAUUAAUAAUAGUUUAGUAAGAGUAUAAUAGAUAUAUUGUUCCAAAAAAAAUAAUAGAAAAUAACAAAAAUAACAAAACAAAUUAAAAAAUAAAUAUAUAUAAAAACACCACAAAUAAAACAAACGACAUCGCUAUAUAUGCAUUAUGUAGGUUGUCUCCUUUGAUAAAGUUAUGCAUAUCUCGUCUAGAACAUAUAUAAUAUUAAUAAUAGUUUAGUAAGAGUAUAAUAGAUAUAUUGUUCCAAAAAAAAUAAUAGAAAAUAACAAAAAUAACAAAACAAAUUAAAAAAUAAAUAUAUAUAAAAACACCACAAAUAAAACAAACGACAUCGCUAUAUAUGCAUUAUGUAGGUUGUCUCCUUUGAUAAAGUUAUGCAUAUUUGAUUGGAUAUCCUAUCCGAAAGUAGGACUUUAGAUCAUUAGGAAUACUCUCCUCGACAACUGUCGUGGAGAGAUUCGAGAUCAGCCACCAAAACGCACGAACCCACUUCGGAAUGCAUAUAACGACCGGAAGAGAAGAACUAAGAGAGAGAGAAGACAGUCGCCUGAGAGUGAAGAAGAAACGGAUUGGUCGUCUGCCUCCGUGCUCGCCACCACAAAUCAUCACGACCACGAGCCACCACGGACCGGUGGGAUAGUGUUGACGGUUGUUGCAGAUAUAGAGGACGGGCUUAGAUAUAAUAAAACCGUACUAAUGAUCAAAUAGAAAAAGUUAUAUUACAAAAUAAUAAAAUAAUAUCAUUGUUAAAGAUAAAACAAAAUUCAAACAUUUCACUGGAAAAGGCCAACGAUCAAAGUGUCAUAAAUAUGGUUUUGGCAAGAUGGAACUCCAGAAAGCAAGAAUAAGAACAGUAAUUUCACCUUUGAGGGGAGUAUAACCCCUUUCAACAAGAUCAUGAUGGUGAGUGUAAGCCAAAACUCCGCAGGCACUCGGCGUCCAGAAUAAUACUUCUGGCAACCCAAACUUUUGGGCAGCUUUAAGCGUAAAGCUCAUGCAACCAUCGGAUAUUAUACAGGUCGGAGGUGGCACGUCAGACUCCUCGCCACCUUUAAGCCUACUGAUCAGCUCACAGAAAGGUUCGAAACUUUGCUUAGGAACAGAUUCACAGAGGGCCGGGAUGGACUGGGUGGCUUCCACAUCAGAGGGUGGAAGACCAUCGGGGAUGGAGUAGAAACGAAAAUCGGGCAGACCAUCAAGGGAGGAAGAACCUCGGGAUCUGAGCAGGCGCUUAUGGUUGUAGUGGGUGUUGACGAAGGAAAUAUGGAAGCCCUUAAAGUGAAGGAGCUUCGCAAGUUUCAUCAUAGGGUUGAUGUGGCCUUGUGCUGGAUAGGGGAUGCAUAUGGCAUGUGGCUUCUCCAUUUCUGCUAUGGAACCAAUCUGCUGCAGUAUUUAUUUAUGUGUCUUGAGGGAGAAAGCAAACUAGUGGUGGUAGUAUUUAGCAUGUUUCAUUUUAUCGAAAAUUUCUUAUAAUUAUUUGUAGAAUAACUUAUAGUUUUAGUCCCCGUGGUUUAUAUCAAUGUACAUUUUUUAAUUUUUAACAUUUCUUGUUCAUGUGGUUUGCAAAAGUUGCAUGUGUGGUCCUAAAAACUAAUUCCAUGAAAUCUUAUCAGAUAAAUGUAUAUAAAAUUAAAAUUAUACCCCUCAUUCUUUUCCUCAAUUUUUUUUGCAAUAUUUUGAUGAUUUAGGGCCAAUUUUGCAAAUUAGUGGAAAGAACACAUAGAACACACACACACACACACACUCUCUCUCUCUCUCUCUCUCUCUCUCUAUAUAUAUAUAUAUAUAUAUAUAUAUAUAUUGUGUGGAUGUAGGAAUGAAUGUAGACCAAGAGUUUAAAAAUAAAUAUUCCAAUAGAAUACAUAUUUUGAUAACAUACAAAUUCUGACAAAAUAAAUAUUUUGAUUGAAUGAACAUUUUGAAGAAUAACAAAAUUUGAACCAUGAGUUGAAGAAUAACAACAUUCUGAAAGAAUAAUCAUCUAUUAUUGACAUUAUUGAAGAAUCUAAUGUCCAAAAAUAAACAAAAAACAAUUUUUACUGUCACAUUCUAUAAUAAUACAAUGUUAUUUUUUGAGUUUUUGUCACAUUAUAUUAGAAUACGAACUUUAUAGUGAAUCAUUCUUGAAAAAAAUCUUCAUUGUAUAAGAAUACAAUAUCAUUAAUGAAAGAAUCUUCAUUUUCAUUCUUGUUUCAUUUCAAAAUGUUUAUUCUCAUUCAGGGUCACUCUCUUUUAGGGAUUUGAACUUUGAUGGUGGUUGUUAUUGGGGUUGUUUUUGGUAGAAAGUGGUUGGUGCAGUGUUAAGGUGAUGUUGGUCUUAGUGAUAGUGAUGAUUCAUGCCUAGUUUUCAACUGGCAUAUGGAUGGUUGUAUUGCAUGGGCUUGGUGCUGGUGAUUGGUUAUAAGUCGAGAUGAUAGUGGUCGACAUGUUGGUGGCGAUAAGUGACAUGGUGAUGAGUGAUGGGAAAUGCGGUGCUUGUUGCAAAAGAUAGUGGAGGGUGAUAUGGUGUUGAUUGGUGAUGGUAGUGGUUGUUGAAUUAGUAGUGAUUGGUGUGAUUAAUGAUGGUGGUGGUUAUUCUUGAUAGUGGUGGUGAUUGGUGAUGAUGGUUGUUGAUAGUGGUGGUGGUUGACUAGGUUAGUGGCUGAUGGUGGUUAGGCUAAAGGGUGUCCUAAACUUUUUACCAAUUGUCAUAACCACUUGGUUAGCAAUGCCAAAUUUAGUGAUCGAAUAGAGCCAAUACCCAAACCCCCAACCAAUUUUGGAGCUAUAACCUUUUCCCAGGCCACCCAUUUUAUGUUAUUUUUGCAAAUAGGUCCUCCCCAAAUGAACUGUCUACAAAUUUUCUCUAACUACCUUAUGACUCCAUUCGGGGCUCCAAAGAUGGAUAUGAAAAGUGUGUGUAGGCUUCCCAGUAUCGUUUUAGCAAGUGUGAUUCUUUCACGGAAAUUGAAGAUUUUGGCCUUCCAAGUUGAAAGUUUUGACCUCAAUUUAUCCAUAAUGGUGUUCGACGAGACCUUUCGAUUCAUAUUUAAUCCUACCGGGACGCCAAGGUAGGUGAAGGGAAGCACUGCAGGUUCACAACCAAGAGAAGAUGCCCAAUUAACGACCUCUUAGGACGGGACCCCAAUACCAUAAACUUUGGAGUUGGAGAAAUUGACCUUUAAACCAGAUGAUACAUAAAAGCAUCUAAGGAUUCUGACAAGAUUUGCAACAUUCCAGUGUGACCAAUCCCCCAAAAAUAAAGCAUCAUCUGCAUACAAGAGGUAAGAUAGGCAUACAUUAGUAUUAGGGAUAUGGAUACCAUCAAAUAUACCUUUAUAUGUCGCAUAUUUCAAUGCCUCCAUCGCUAUGAUAAACAAUAAGGGAGAUAGAAGAUCUCCUUAUCCCGCGCCCUUUGUCAUUGAGAAUUCGGCAGUAGGGCUCCCGUUAAUAAUGAUAGAAGCCCUAGACGAUUCUAGACAACCUCGAAUCCACAAUCUCCAUUCACAACCAAAGUUCAUUUGAGUCAUUAUGGACUCUAGGUAUCCCCAGUUGAUUGAAUCGAGAGCCUUGUUAAGACCUGACUUGAAUAAUAAUAUUUUUCUUCCAUUUGACUUAGCCCAAGAGCAAAUUUCAUUUACUAUUAAGGGUCCCUCUAAUAUGUUUCUUCCCUCCACGAAGGCAUAUUGAACUUCAUCAAUCACACUGUUAAUCACCUUUUUAAUAUGCAGGGCAAGAAUUUUUGUGAUGAUUUUGUACAUCGAACCAAUCAGGCUAAUUGGUCGAUAAUCAUCAAGCAGAAGCGGGUCCUUUAUCAUUGCUGCCAACGUGAUGAAGGAGGCAUUGCAUCCUCUUGAGAAUUUACCCCAUCUUUCAAAAUGUUUCACCGCACCUAAUACAUCACCUUUAAUGAUCACCAAAUAUUUUUCUUAAAGAAUUUGUUUUUACUCUCUUUGAAGGUUUUUUGUAGUCUAGAUUGGUCAACUUCUUAUUUGCUGUUGAAAAGAAUAAAUAAAGUUACAAACUUAAACAUUAAUUUGUUAAAUAUGUUAAUAGGUUAAUUAAUAAACAAUAUAUGUGUAUGUAUUUUGUGUACGUAUAUUGCAGGUAAAAGGACACGCGGGUCAAGUGGGUCAAGUGAUAUAUGGGUUAUACCCAAUGUUUAAUGGGUUGUGAUAUAAGGAGUGUUAGGUGGUCUUGAUAAACUCUAACGAAGAUAUUUCACUGAUCUUAUCUCUCAGUUUUCUCUAUCAUCUAAAGUUAGGGUUUGUUCAUCGUUGUCUUACAAGAUCUAUAAUAUGAGAGUAUGAGUGAUUUGUAGUGAGGUUUGAGUUGUAAUCUGUUGAUGUAAACCAUCUGUUUCAUAGUGAAUGAAAUGAUGAUGUUGGGAAGAUCUUGUGUUGAUUACAUUUCUUUACAUGGUAUCAGAGCUAUGGCUCCUUCGGUGUUCUUGUGAUGUUCGUUGGUUUGCGAUUGUUCGACUCACGAUCGUCCUGGUAAUUUCUUAAACCUGUUCAUUAUUUGUUUACAAUCACUUUCUUGACUGACACAGUUGUUGUGUAUCAUGAGUUUGUAUGAACUCUGAUCUUCGAUUUUAUCAACUGUGUCACUUUUCUGAUGUUCAGUUGAUUUAGGGUUUUCAUUAGAAAAUCCAAUCGAACAUCUGUUCUUUUUUGUUUGUAUCUGGUACUGCGAGAUUGUUGUGAUCUUGUAGGUUUCUUCUGUGACGAUCAAAUCAAGUUUGUCUACAAGACUCAUUGUGAACAAAGAUUAAGCCAAAUCGAUUAAUCUCUGAGUCUGAAAUAACUCACUAGGGGUCAGAGUUCAUCGCUGAUAAACCCUAGUUGAGAACGGACAAAGAGAGUCGAUCUCUGCACUUGACUCAUCAUAAAAAGCUUUGUGAGCAAUCUCUUAUUCUUGUUCUUUGUCUUACAUGUUUGUUUGUAAAGAUCCUGGCAAUCUGUUUUGUGUUGAUUGUAUUUUAUUUCUUGUAUAUCUGCUUGUUUCUUCUUCUGUUCUGACUGUCUUGGGCCCCGAUAUACGUGGUGACCAUCUGGACAUAAGAUCAGUUCAGGGGAAGUUUUCUUGAGUCUCCUUUCUUGAGUUUUCAAUAUUUCUUGAGUUUUAUUCUCAUUUACUUCUAUGGCGGGUGAGACAACUGAUCCACCCAGUGGAAGUGGGAAGGAUGAUCUGAUUAAUUUUGAUGAUCCUCUCUAUAUUCACCCUUCUGAUAAUGCUGUUACCUCUAUAAUUACAAUCAAGUUGACUGGUAAUGAAAACUUUAGGUUAUGGAGAAGUUCAAUUUCUAGAGCUCUUAAAGCUAGGAAUAAGUUAGGCUUUGUUGAUGGUACUUGUAAAAAAAAGCAGUGUCGAUGAGUCAAAGAAAACUAAAUGGGAUAGAGCUAAUGUUGUUGUUUGUUCUUGGUUGUUGUCUUCUAUAUCUGACUCAAUCUAUCAGAGUCAAGCCUAUUCUGAAGUAGCAGAAGAUAUUUGGGAAAAUCUUUUUGAAACAUACAAUAAAUCUGAUGGAUCUGUUGUUUUUAAUAUACAUCAACAAAUUAAUUUUCUUAAACAAAAUGGUACUUCUCUGUCUGAUUACUUCAAUAAGCUUGAUUCUUUAUGGAAAGAAUUUGAUGGUCUUACUAGUUUAACAGAGUGUACCUGUGAUGCUUCUAUUAAACUAAAGGAUCAUUCAAAUCUCAUGAAGCUAAUGCAAUUUUUAUCUGGACUUGAUGAUUCAUAUAGUCAAGUCAAAAGUCACAUUUUGUUAAUGGAUCCCUUACCUAAUGUGAAAACUGCUUUCUCUAUUGUGUCUAGAGAAGAAUCACUUCAAAGAAAUGGUUCUUUGACUUCUCUUCAAGCUUCUCAGUCUAUAAAUAAGUCUCAGACAUCUGCUUUUAACAGCAAGUUUAAUAACAAGACUAAUGUGAAUAAAAAUAAGGGUCAAACUGUUCAAUGUAAGAAUUGUGGUAUUAAGGGUCAUACCAUUGAGAAGUGCUAUAAAAUAAUUGGGUACCCUAAGGAUUUUAGGUCAAGAAGUGAAACUAAUAAUCAGAAUAACUUUGUUAAAAACUUUUCUGCUAAUUCUACUACCACUUCUUCUGGAAGUGCUAGUACUAAUAAUUUUUCUGGUGAUUCUGAGUUUCAUUACCUUACUAAGGAUCAGUAUUUCAAACUUUUACAACUUAUUGGUGAUAAGCAAGUGAAUGAAGAAGCUUCUGUUAGUGCUAAUAUGGCAGGUACUUGUUAUUUUCAAGCUUUUAAUUCUUCUGUCUGUAAUCAAAGAUGGAUAGUUGACUCAGGGGCUAAUCAACAUAUGACUGCCUCUGAGUCACUGCUCCAUGACACUGUGGAUGUGUCAAAUUUGGAUCUGCUGGUGUGUCAUCCCAAUGGUACAUCAGCUAAAAUUAAAAAAAUUGGUAACAUGAAUUUAUCUAAUUCUUUAACACUGUUUGAUGUUUUUGCUGUUCCUGAUUUCAAUGUUAAUUUGCUUUCUGUUCAUAAGGUUUGUAAAGAUAGUAAUUGUGAGGUUGUUUUUAAUGAGCAUAAUUGCAAAAUUCAGGAUUUACAAUCAAAGGUGAUGGUGGGGAGUGGUAGAGAGUCUGGAGGUCUCUAUUACAUUAAUAGUGCACCUUCAGGUAGUAUAUCUAAUUCUACUAUCUCUUCUUCUGUUUGUUGUGUGUCUAAGUUAACUUGGCACAAUAGACUUGGUCAUCCUUCUGAUCAAGUUUUAAGUUCUUUGAGACAUAAACUUAAGAUUGGAAGUGAAGUACUUCCACCUUGUGACAUUUGUCAUAAGGCUAAACAAACUAGAGAAUCCUUUCCUAUUAGUCAGCAUACUACUUCUAAACUUGGUGAGUUAGUUCAUUUGGAUGUUUGGGGUCCUUAUAAAGUGACAACUUCAGAAGGAUUUAGGUAUUUUUUGACUAUUGUGGAUGAUUUUACUAGGGCAACUUGGAUUUAUCUUCUAAAGUCUAAGGAUGAAGUUUAUGAUUCUGUUCUUGUUUUCUUUAAUAUUUUGAUUAAUCAAUUUAGUGUUAAAAUUAAAACUGUUAGAUCUGACAAUGGUACUGAGUUUUUGAACAACAAAAUGAGACAAUUAACUGAAUCAAAAGGAAUUUUGCAUCAAACAUCGUGUGUUCAUACUCCACAACAAAAUGGUGUUGUGGAGAGAAAACACAGGCACAUUUUAAAUGUUGCUAGGUCUUUAAUGUUUCAGUCUGGUUUGCCAAUUAAACAUUGGGGAGAUGCUAUAUUAACUUCAGUUUUUUUGAUUAAUAGAACACCUACUUCAGUUUUAAAUGGUUCUUCUCCCUAUGAAAUGGUUUAUAAUUCUGCACCUGUUUUUGAUAAACUUAGAGUAUUUGGAUGUUUGUGUUUUGCAUCUAAGCUGAAUAAUAAUGAUAAAUUUUCUGAAAGGGCUGAUAAGUGUGUUUUUCUUGGUUAUUCUUCUGAUAAAAAGGGUUACAAAGUUCUCAGUCUUGAUUCUAAUCUUAUCUUUGUUUCCAGGGAUGUAAAGUUUUAUGAGUCAGUGUUUCCUUUCAAGCUUAGAACUUCAUCCUUAACUGAUAGUUCAGUUGUCAAUGUAAAUUCAAAUGACCUAUUUUCCUAUGAUGAGUCUACAAAUUCUAGUUUUAUUCUAGAUAAUACUAGAACAGAUAACUUGAGAAGUAGCCAUCAGAUGGAUGGUGCUAAUGCAGACCAGGACCAGGAUGAGACUUUUCCCUCUAAUGUCAGCAACCGGACUGGUGAGGUAGAUGUGCCUCUAUCUGAUGAGUUGUUUCCAAGUUCUUCUGUAUUGACUGAGGAAACUGAUACAAUUAAUUCUAAUCCUUCUGAAAGCUUGUCUACUAGGAUCACUAGGUCUGGAAGGAAUGUUAACAUGCCAGUUAGAUUUAGUGAUUAUGUUAUAGAUGGUAAACAUAAAUAUGGUAUUGAAAGAACAGUAAACUAUUCAGCUCUUAAUACUGAGUCAUUCUGUUUUAUUUCUAAUCUUAAUAAAACAGUUGAACCUAAAACUUAUAGUGAAGCAGCUUUAGAUCCAAAUUGGAUCAAAGCUAUGAAUGAGGAAAUGGAAGCCCUUUAUAGGAAUAAUACUUGGGAAAUUACUAAUCUUCCUAAAGGAAGAAAAGCAAUUGGGUGUCGUUGGAUAUAUAAAAUUAAAUAUAAAUCUAAUGGUGAUAUAGAAAGAUAUAAAGCUAGGCUUGUGGCUAAAGGAUAUAAUCAGAGGGAAGGAAUAGACUAUGAGGAGACUUUUUCUCCUGUUGCAAAAAUUGUAACUGUUCGUGUGGUAAUAACAAUGGCAGUAAACAGUUCUUGGCCACUUUAUCAGUUAGAUAUUAAUAAUGCUUUUUUAUAUGGAAAUUUAUCUGAAAAUGUAUAUAUGUGUCAACCUGAGGGUUAUCAUUCUAAGGAUGAUAUAAGGGUUUGCAGGUUGUGUUAUCAUUCUAAGGGUGAUAUAAGGGUUUGCAGGUUGUUAAAGUCUCUUUAUGGACUUAAACAAGCCCCAAGGAAGUGGAAUCAAAGGUUGUCCUCUUCUCUCUCAAGUUUUGGUUUUAAGCAAAGUGUUAAUGAUUAUUCAUUAUUUGUUAGACAAUUUAAAAAUACUUUUAUAAUUCUACUGGUUUAUGUAGAUGAUAUCAUUCUAACAGGUAAUGAUGAGUCUGAGUUAAAUAAAGUUAAAAUGUUUCUUAAAUCACAGUUCUUAAUUAAAGAUUUAGGUGAAUUGAAAUAUUUUUUAGGUAUUGAAGUAUUGAGAACUGAAAAAGGUAUAUGUUUAAAUCAAAGGAAAUAUUGUAUGGAAUUGCUUCAUGAGUUUGGUAUGUUAGCAUGUAAACCAGUUAAAACUCCACUUGAACCAAAUUUGGUUGUCAAAAGAGAAUAUGAUUUGGAAGCAUCUGAUUAUUUAGUUAAUAUAACUGAAUAUCAAAAACUUAUUGGUAAAUUGAUUUAUUUGACUGUGACUAGACCUGAUAUAUCUUAUGCUGUGCAAAUAUUAAGUCAGUACAUGCAUAAGCCAUAUAAGUCUCAUGUUAAUAUUGCUUUCAGGUUGUUAAGAUACUUGAAAAACAGUCCUGGUAUGGGAAUUCAUAUAAUUAACUCUGGUAGUUUAGAUUUGAUUGGGUUUGUGGAUACAGAUUGGGCUAAAUGCUUGUUUAGUCGAAAAUCUGUAACAGGAUAUCUUGUAUAUCUAGGAGGAUCUCUGGUUUCUUGGAAGAGCAAGAAACAGAAUACUGUUUCUCGUUCAUCCACAGAAUCAGAAUAUAGGGCUUUAGGAAGUAUAACUUGUGAGGUAAUAUGGAUUUUAAAAUUACUUCAUGAUUUAGGUAUAAAAACUAAUUUACCUGUUGAUAUUUUUUGUGAUAAUGAAUCUGCAAUUAAGUUGGCUUUAAAUCCUGUAUUUCAUGAGAAGACAAAACAUUUUGAGAUUGAUCUUCAUUUUGUUAGGGAGAAAAUUGAAAAUGGAAUUUUAAAAGUUAAUAAAAUAAUGUCUUCAAAUCAAAAUGCAGAUAUUUUGACAAAAUCACUUGGUAGUGUUCAACAUGAAUAUAUUGUAAAUCGACUUAAUAUGAUUGAUAUUUUUAAGAAGAAUUAAAUUUUUUGUUAAAAUUAAUGUUUAGUUUGAGGGGGCAUGUUGAAAAGAAUAAAUAAAGUUACAAACUUAAACAUUAAUUUGUUAAAUAUGUUAAUAGGUUAAUUAAUAAACAAUAUAUGUGUAUGUAUUUUGUGUACGUAUAUUGCAGGUAAAAGGACACGCGGGUCAAGUGGGUCAAGUGAUAUAUGGGUUAUACCCAAUGUUUAAUGGGUUGUGAUAUAAGGAGUGUUAGGUGGUCUUGAUAAACUCUAACGAAGAUAUUUCACUGAUCUUAUCUAUCAGUUUUCUCUAUCAUCUAAAGUUAGGGUUUGUUCAUCGUUGUCUUACAAGAUCUGUAAUAUGAGAGUGAGUGAUUUGUAGUGAGGUUUGAGUUGUAAUCUGUUGAUGUAAACCAUCUGUUUCAUAGUGAAUGAAAUGAUGAUGUUGGGAAGAUCUUGUGUUGAUUACAUUUCUUUACAUUUGCCUUUUUAGGAGAAUUUACUUACCGUAUUUCACCGAUUUAACAAAUAUGACGUGGCUGUGUGUUGCCCAUGAGACUUUUUUUUAUAGGUUUAUAAUUUAAAAAAACAUAUUAAAAACAUAUUUACAUUAUAAGGUUUAUUAACUACCACCAAAUUCGACAUCCCUGCCCAACUUUCAAAUAAAGACGAGAGAAAAGCAUUACAAGAACAACGCAAAAAUAAUGAAAAAAACAAGUUUCCAAAUAGUGAAUACUUAAUAUUGCAGGAAAUUGACACAAUAUUUUUUAAAAAAAAAUCGAAAUUCGACAUCCCUGCCCAACUUUCAAAUAAAGACGAGAGAAAAGCAUUACAAGAACAACGCAAAAAUAAUGAAAAAAAACAAGUUUCCAAAUAGUGAAUACUUAAUAUUGCAGGAAAUUGACACUAUAUUUUAAAAAAAAAAUCGAUUUCAUAAUAAGUCCAAUACCAUAAGAAUGAUUCAAGCUUUUGAAAAUAAUAAUAAUAAUAAAAUACAAGGCAAUUGAUUUCAGAUCUUGAAAAAAAAAAUUCAACUCAAACCAACCAUUUCCUUUUCGAUGUGUUAUGGGUACUGAAACAAAAAAGAAAUAUGUGUGGUGAACUGCUAGGAUUGAGGUGUCCUGUAAUUAAUAGUGCACAUUUUUUUCGGUGAUGAACUAAUUUAACACAACCUCCAACGAUGUUAGGCAAUUACGAUUGAGAUAUAUUUUUCAUUCCGCUUUAAAUUAAAAACUACACCGUCCAUUCCUCUUUGUCCACCUACUACACCCACCGUGAAAGAUAUGCCGCCCAUCAUAACCGAUCCUACUAUAGUACUAUGGUCCACGACUAGGGCAACGUGUGGGUGGUAUUUUUCAUCAUGGUUUUGAUUUACACGACACAUCUCAUUACCCAUAUCUAAACGAUCAAGGUGUAUUGUAAAGCUUAAAAACGUGACUUUAUUUAAUAGGUUUUAAGAAAUCGCUACAAAAUUAACCCCUACGGCGAUGACAAUUUCUGACCUUACACCGACGACAAGUCGUCAUAAUAAGCUAAACAAACGACUUGUUGUCGGCAUAGGCUUGUCGGUAUAGGUCAUAGGUGUCGUCGGCAUAAGUGUCGUUCGUAUAGGUGUCGUCGACAUAGGUUCCCCUAUUCCGACGACAAGUAUUCAAUAUAACUUUCGUCGACGAUAUUUAAAAAAAAAAUAAAGUUUUAUUAAUUACCUGUGACGACGACAUGUCGUCGCGAUAGCCACUGGUUGUUUUUGUUGUUUUUUUUGUACAGAUUCUGUACAUUACUAUUACUGCAUUUUUAAAAUAUUCAAAAAACUUUGCAGAAUAAAUCAAUUGAGAUACAAUAGCUAGCUACCAUUGUUCAAAUUCAAAACAUCAAAUUGAAGUUUAUUAUUACAAUAAGUUGUUAACAUUGUUCAAAAUAAUAAAAAACAUCAACCAUCAUUAUUAUCAUCAUUAUCAUCAUCAUUUUUUUUAUUCUUCUUCCCGUUCUUCAUCCAUCAUAUCGACAAAUUGUUGAGAGGUACUUCCAUGUGUGUUAGAGUUGAAUAGAAAAUCAAGAAAUGGUGGUGGUUGAAAGUCAGGAAUAUAUGCCGCCAAUGAUGCAUUAUAUUGUUGCAAGUAUUCUUGCAUUUAUUGUGCAUCAAAUUGGGAUUGAGAUUAGGACGAUAUGGAAGUGGAAGGUUGUUCAUUUGGAAUUAAAACGAAGUUGGCGGUUGGUCUUCUACCCACUCCGCGAGCAUGCCUGCGUCUCGUCCCAAGGGCACAUUCUAAACAUUCUUCUUCAUUACUUCUACGCCUUCUCCGACCUCGCUUUGCAUUUUCUCAUACUCAUAUUGAAUUUUCUCUUAAAAUAAAGAAAUUAAUAAACAUAUGAUAAUUAAAGCAAACAACUAAAUUUAAACAUUAAAAUAAUAAUAUUAUACAUUAAACAAAAAAAACUAUAAUUAACAAUAACUAGAAAAGAUCCCCCGACGUUGACGGGGUUGGUAGGUAUUGCUUUGUAAAGUAAAAUAGUAUGUUGAAUUGCAUUGAGAUAAUCUAGUAAAGGAAGAUAAACAAUGUCAUAUAAUUACAUAAGUAAAGAAAUCUAAAUAAUUAUUUCUUGCAAUAAAUGAGGAAAAUAAAGAAAUUAUCUCACAAAUUGAACUUUAUUACCAUGUAUGGCAGCGGACGGAAACCAAUCCAGAAAAUAUAGACCGUUGUUUUUUUGUCCGUUAAUGUGAGGAUAAUUUGGUCUUUUAAGGUAGUAGGGACUAAAUUUGUGACGACAGGUAAACAUAUGGACCAUUUAUGUAAUUUUGGCCGUGGCGGUGUUGGUGGUAAUGACAACUGGUGGGUGGCUUUAUGGUAUUGGGUGGGGAUUUUCUAAUAAAUAAAACAUUAAUUUAAAACCAAAAAGAGAAAUAUAAAUUAAUAAAAAAAUCGGAUUAGGAGUAAAAGAGUGAUUUCGGUUUCUAUCGUUGUCAUCAAUGUGUUAAAUUUGGUAAACCACAGGGACUAAUUGUGUAAUUUUGUUUAACAAUAAUAAUAACAAUAAUAAUAAGGGACCAUUUCUGCCAAAAGACUAAAUACUAAUAAUAUGUAAUAAAAGGCGAGAGUUAUGAAAAAUUCAAAUGAAAGUGAAAGGGUUGUUUGUGAACAAAAGCAUAAAGGUGCAGGGUCAAUGUUGUAAGUAGUUUUUGAAAACCAACAUAAGUUGGAGGACCAAAAGUGACAAAAAAAAUUGACAAAAAAAAAGGAGCAAACAUACAUAACCUUAGGGACCAAUCUUGCCAAACACUUAGGAAGUUUAUUAUUCCUAACUUUCAUAUCUUUAAUAUAUAUAUUAAUUUGGUAGAUAUUCUUAAAUUGAAAGUACAAUUUUGUAAUAUAAUUGAAUGGAAGUAAUAUAAAAAUAAGUUAAGUACAUUGAUAUAUUUGCAUUUAACUUACUCUCUCUCUCUCUCUCUCUCUCUCUCUCUCUCUCUCUCUCUCUCUCUCUCUCUAUCCACGGGUGGCAGAAUCAGUGAAUCUUCUUUUUUCCAAAAAAAAAAGCAAAAAAAAAAAGAUAGUAUUAUUAAUUUAGUGAUAUGGAAGUUGGUAUCUGCUUAAGAAAGGUAGUUGGUUAUUACAAUGCUAGAACAGUUGAAUUCAUUAUUCAUACCCUUUUUAUUACUUUUAUUAAUUUGUUUAAUAAAUGGUAGUUGCUCUUGUUGCACAUCCUGUUUAUCUUGCAAUAGAACAUAUUUGAUUACUAUGCAUUUGUUAAUGGGCGAAUGUACUAUACUUUUAACAAUCCCCGCAACGCUAGGAAACCUUUCUAGUUUCAUAUUCAACUAGAAAGGUUACCACCGCUACGCGAGGGCCAGAAGCUUUCAAUGUUGUUUCCGAAUUGAUAAAUAUGACAGACAUAGAAAGUGCAAGGAUGAAAAGUCCGGGCUUUGCCCCGGACAAAAAAUGUAAAAGUUUUGACUGCAAGGACCAGAAGUCUAAAAAUGGCUAAAGAAGUAAAGGGGUAGGAAUUAGCAACUUUUUAGAAAAGGGAUCAAAUUUGUUAAACCGUUAAAGUUUUGUGGUCAAACUUUAAAUAUUAAAAGGUUCCAAAAAAGUGUACAAAUAUUGAUUGCAAAGAGCAAAAGUGUCAAAAUGGGUAAAGAAUAAUGAGCAAAGUUGCCAAAAAACAUCCAAAUUUAGUAUUUCUAACUUCCAACAAUAAUACAGGGACCAAUUCUGCCAAAAAAAUAGGAAGUUGAAUGAAACACAAACAAAAUGACAUGAAUAAAUUAGUUAAAGAAGUAUAGGGACUGGAUAUGUAAAUCAAGGGACCAAACUUGGACAAAAUGUCCCAAGUUUACUAUUCUUUUCUUCCACAACUUUAAUAUAUAUAUAUAUAUAUAUAUAUAUAUAUAUAUAUAUAAUAAGCNAGUGAAAAACAAUAAAUAUAUUUAUACAACUGUUAACAACAAUUGUAAAUAAUAAUAAUAAUAAUAAUAAUAUAUUUUAUUACCUCUAAAUAACGUCGUUGGGCAUAGGAUCUACAUCCGUGAGCACUUGAGUGCGGAAGUUUCGACCUAGUAACAUUAUUUUUUUACAGACGUGGGUUUAUAUUUAUCAAUCAAGAACAACAAAUCAAUCAUUUUAUUCCAAGCUCCGGCGGUCCAAUCAGUCGAUGUACAUCUUCUUGCCCUUUCCACAACAUGAUAUCCACCAACUCUAUAAAAAUGCUUUUUCAUCUAAUACUUGCGCUCUCGAUAAGCUCUUUGCAUACUGCUUGGAUACCCGCUCAAACAGGUUCCUACAAAUCUGUGCCCCGAUACCUAUCAAGAUCAAAAUAAGUCUACAAAAGAAAAAACAUAUUUGAUUAGUAAAAAAUAUUUAGUAAGUGUAAAAUUCAAUUAAUAUAAAAUAUAUUGUAUACUUACUUCUAGCUUAGUGUAACAACCCGAUGUUUCAACUCUUUGUAAUGACCUAAAAAGUCAAGUAUUGUAACCACUUUUGAGUUAAUAAAAUUAACUUUGAUAAUAAAAUGUCCAAAAAGUUCUAUUUAAAUUCCCUCUAUGUUUAAAUGUCAUUAAACCAUGAUCGUACGUAAAAAGAACGCCCAAAUCCGGCUUCGUAUAUUGAAGUUAAGAUUUUUCCAAGUUCGGCUUAGGAGCAGACAGCUAAAAUCUCGAAUCGGAGAUCGAACGACUUUUGGCCGGAAUGACCUAAACAAGAAUCGAAGGUCUCGACAAUGGUAUUUCAGCGGUAAAAAGUCUGGCAAAAACCGACGUCAGAUAAAGAAGUUAUGAAUUUUUAAAGAAAUUCCUUAAACACAACGAUUUAUAAAAUAAAUAAUAAAAAUAAUUUCGAAAUUUGCCAACGGAGACUAAACGAAAGUUGUAGAGCGUAGUCUCACCUACGCGUGGAUAUAAAGACCAUCAAAAACGGAGUUCGUAUGAGGAAGAUAUGAAUUUUUGAAGUUUAUUAAAUAAAUUAUAAUUAUAUUUAAAUCAAAAUGCUAGUAAUAUCCGAAGAGGAGUCAGCGUCCUCAUCCGAGGUACGCGCCGCAUAACCCUGUACGCCCAGCGUACCCGAGGGCCUUGGUCUCGGUCCGUCCACGUCGCCCCUAUGCGAAGCUAUCCGACCCGCCGUCCCAUCCGAAGCCGAGGCAGUCGAGGACUCGGUCAUGCAUGACGUACGAGUACGCGCUGCGUACGAGCGUACGCCCCGCGUACCGAGGCUUCUCAGACCCCCUAUAAAUAGAAAUGCGAGGGUUCCGGAAAAAUCACCCCAUUUCUCUCAUUUCUCUCACGAUCUUGCCUCGUUUUCCGUGCCCGCACUACCCCGAAGCUCUGGUCUUUUUGCUCAAGUCCCGAGGGUCGAUUUUACUCCCGAGAUUCCCGAGAAUCCCGAGAAAAAUCCGUUUCCCGAGACGAAACUCUGCCCGGUUUUCCAUCUCGCUAUCUUCAAACUUUCAAGUGAGUUCAUACCCCUNNNNNNNNNNNNNNNNNNNNNNNNNNNNNNNNNNNNNNNNNNNNNNNNNNNNNNNNNNNNNNNNNNNNNNNNNNNNNNNNNNNNNNNNNNNNNNNNNNNNNNNNNNNNNNNNNNNNNNNNNNNNNNNNNNNNNNNNNNNNNNNNNNNNNNNNNNNNNNNNNNNNNNNNNNNNNNNNNNNNNNNNNNNNNNNNNNNNNNNNNNNNNNNNNNNNNNNNNNNNNNNNNNNNNNNNNNNNNNNNNNNNNNNNNNNNNNNNNNNNNNNNNNNNNNNNNNNNNNNNNNNNNNNNNNNNNNNNNNNNNNNNNNNNNNNNNNNNNNNNNNNNNNNNNNNNNNNNNNNNNNNNNNNNNNNNNNNNNNNNNNNNNNNNNNNNNNNNNNNNNNNNNNNNNNNNNNNNNNNNNNNNNNNNNNNNNNNNNNNNNNNNNNNNNNNNNNNNNNNNNNNNNNNNNNNNNNNNNNNNNNNNNNNNNNNNNNNNNNNNNNNNNNNNNNNNNNNNNNNNNNNNNNNNNNNNNNNNNNNNNNNNNNNNNNNNNNNNNNNNNNNNNNNNNNNNNNNNNNNNNNNNNNNNNNNNNNNNNNNNNNNNNNNNNNNNNNNNNNNNNNNNNNNNNNNNNNNNNNNNNNNNNNNNNNNNNNNNNNNNNNNNNNNNNNNNNNNNNNNNNNNNNNNNNNNNNNNNNNNNNNNNNNNNNNNNNNNNNNNNNNNNNNNNNNNNNNNNNNNNNNNNNNNNNNNNNNNNNNNNNNNNNNNNNNNNNNNNNNNNNNNNNNNNNNAGCACGUCGGUUGCUUGCGAUUUUCGGUCUUAGAGACUGCCAGUUAUGUCAGGAAAAUAAGGGUUUUUCCUGUAUACAAACCAAACAACUAAUAGGAAAAUAAGGGAUUUUCUCGGUACAAUUAGUUGCAACUUAUAACACGAACAUUCAUAUGCAUUUCAUACUUUUAUAAGAAAAUAAGGGUUUUUCGUGGAAAACACAACAAAUCAUACCUCAACCAUUAGGGAAAAUAUGGGAUUUUCUGGAUCUAAUACAUUCAUUUUCAACACAACAAAUCGUAACUCUUUACAUUCGAAACACUGCGUUUUCUGGAAAACACACACGAACUUUCGAAUGGCGUACAUUUUCUCAAAACACUACUCAUGAACUCACCAACUUAAUUGUUGACACUUUUUCUUUGAAAUAACUUGUAUUCUCAAGGAACCGCUAAGCAGAUUUGGAAAUCAAAUUUUGGAGAUUAACGUGCUGACGUUAAUUACUUCUUUUGAAAGAUGUUUAUGUAUUUAACUUUUGAACAUGUAACGAAUACAAUUAUGUAAACAUUUUGGAAACUUUAAUAUAUAUGGUGGUGUGUACUUUCCUUUCUAUGAACUGUUAUGAUACUGAAUAUGACGUCCUCCGCCCCCGAACGUUUCCGUCGUUCUGGUUUGGGGGUGUGACACUUAGGAUACAAAUCAUCUUUGUACAUGGUAGGAACUUGAGGCCAAGUAUUAUAAUGCAACGGUACCUCUGAUCCCACCAGAUUUGAGAUCAAUCUGACAAACAAUUGUCUGUUGUCCCCCACGAAUCGAUACGUCCGCCCAGAGGUAUCAAGUCUCACAACCAAAGAAUUACAAUCAUUAUUUUCAAACUCAUCGUACAAAUUUAGGUUUCUCCCUUUGCCACACACAUCCACAAUCUUUUCCUUUGUUAUAUUUACGUAUAGAAUUGGAAAUUUAGAAAUUUAAAACUUUAAUAUAUCUACUGCUUAAGAAUUCCAUGUAACUUACAAGAUUGGCAACCCGAUGGUACACCGCGUGCGACCCCGUGUGGAAGUCUAUCCCCACCGUCUCCUCCAUGUCCCCUUGUGUUUUCUGCCAUCAGUUUAACAAAUAUUAUAAGCAUUCAAAAUAUAUAAUAAAGCUACUUAUAAAUAAGCAACAUUUGAAAAUUUAACUAAUAUUUUAAACAAUCAGGAUAUAUAAUAACUAUAACAUAUCGUCAAUCAGAUUCUUCACUAGAACAGUAUACAUGUACAACAUCAUCAUCACUGUUAUAGUUUUCAUGAUUUAUUUCUUCAUCUAAAUAUUACGUAUCACCACCACCAUCAUCAUCGUUAAUGAAACUGUCAUCGUUUAUAGUAGGAGCAACAUUUCUCCUAGCAACUACACUUGGUUCACCAACUUCACCUACAAUCAUCUUCGUAGGCAAAGUGCCUAAGUCGGCAACCAAGGUAAAAUCAGUUGAUUGAGUGUUGUUCACGACAUUUAUCUCAUUUGCAACACCGAUACCUGGAUGAUUCCAAAGUUUUCGAUGACGAACCUCUUCCACAACUUUCCAGUUAUUAUUUUGAGUAGGAUCUUGGAGAUAAAAUACUUGUUUAGCUUGUGUGGCUAAGAUGUCUUAUUUAUCAUCAAACCACGUUUUACCGACAUACCAUUCAUGACUAGUAUCGAUAACAAGCAUAUUAUUUAUAGUCUUUAAAUGUCCAUUACGUAAUGACGCAUUGAACCAUUUACCCUGAAAGAGUACAACUAAUUUACCAUAUAAAAAAUGCAACUCUAUGAUUUCCUUUAUUUGACCAUAGAUAGGUGUAUCGUCUUCUCCGAAUGUAACAACACCACUAUUUUGAGUAGUGCGUCAAAGAUCACGGCUAUCACGACAAAUCGAACACCAUUUACUAUGCACGCAGUGUAAGAAUAUGCACGAAACAGAGCAUGUGCCAACGCCUUUAAUUCGUCAAUAUAGUCCGAAGGCAUAUCUUUUUGGAGAUAACAAAUCUGUAAGGUAAUAUAAGAUUGUAUGUUUAAGUAAUAAAUUAGUUUUAGAUUAGUUUUACAUUAUAACUAUAUAACGUACUUAACUUUUCUUUAAACCAUGAAGGAAAUUGCAUUUUGAAAUCACUUUCAGCCAAUUCUGAUUUGAAUUCACUAGAUACGAGACAAAACAAUUAGAAUAGUUAAAAUAUAUUAUAACACUAUCGAAAAUGUAGUUAAUAAAUGAGAAACUUACGAUUUGUAGCUUCAUAUCUCAUGAUCAUCGCAAUUGUUUAGUGCAAACCAAUGCAAUGAUUUUUUUGGCCUCUUUAUAAAGUUCAACGAUUUUCUUAGUUGACGUUGUUCGACAUUGUGAUGAGAACAUAGAAAAUUGUCUUUUUGGAAGGUCGGGAUCAUCAUUUCUUUCAGCAUGGUUGUAUUUAUUUUGCAUACCCUCAAUAUACAUAGAUUAGAAUGUCAAAGCUUCGUCAACAACAUAACCCUCUAUUAUUGAACUUUCUGGUUUGGCUUUGUUUCUGACAUAAUUUUUAAUUUUUACAUAUAUCUUUUGAAAGGAUACAUCCAUCUCAUGUGUGUAGGACCUCGAAGAAUGCUGUCACACCCCCAAAUCAGAAUAGAGGAAACGUUCAGGGGUGGAUGACGUCAUGUACAAUAUCAUAACAGUUGAGUAAUAGUAAAGCAAGCAAAAACAACCAUCAUAAAUAUAAUUUAAAAGGUUACAUUGUUGCGUGAGUUACAUGUUUCCAAAUAAAUUACAGUAUGAUGACAAAAUGAGUUUUAACCGGUGCCUUAGCGUCCCGUCCUCAAAAGCUGGUGAUUACCUAUAUAACUGAUUCCCUGAGAAUACAAGUUGUUUUGAAAAGGUGACAACAAUUAAGUUGGUGAGUUCAUAAGUGUUUUAUAUGAGAAAAUGUAUGUCUUUCCAUGUAAAACAAUCGUGUUUGUUCCAGAAAAUCCGUUAUUUUCCAAUACACGAGUUGUAAGCCGUUGUUGGUAAUAUUGUUGGAUAUAGUGUCUAAGUCCAUAACUAUAUUUGGUAUAUACUUGACCCGACCCAGCAUGGUCCAUUUGGGUUGCACUUCACCCGAACACUUUAUGGAUAAUAUUUGAGAAUAGUACAAGUUAUGAUUUAUUAAUAUAUUAUAAGUUCUAAUAUAUUAAUAUACGAUCAUAUUAUUUAAUUAGUAGUGAUCUAUAAUUAAUCUAGGAUUAAUUUAGUGAUCAAAGAUAUUACUAAUUAAAUAUGGGCUUCUAUAUUUAUAUAGUGUGGGCUUAUGCUUAUUUGGAAUGGGCUAGGCUUGGAUGGAGAAGUCCAUGGAUACUCCAUGGAGCUUUAACCCAUGGAUCUCAUGGAAAUGAAGAGACAUGGGUAUUAGGGUUUACAUGGAUGUAACCCUAAUCCACCACACUAUAUAAAGGAGGCGUUGGUUCUUGAAAUCACACUAGUUGACACUUGUGGAGUUGAGGGCCGAUUUCAAGAAGUGGUGACUAUUCUCUCAAAGUUCCAAGUUUGUGGUGAUUUGUGACUUUCAUUUGAGGCAUCCACAUUAUUGGUGCUAGGCUCAAGAACUCCAAGCAAUCAACUACAUCUACAAGGUAAGUGUUUCUACUAGCUUUAUUUGAUUCAAGUUCCCCAUGCCAUGCUAGUUAGGAUAUAAGUCUUGGAAAAUUAAUUAUUUGCAUGUAUCUUAGACAAACAUAGAUCCAAGGUUUAUUAGGGUUGCAUGUACACUUAGGAAGUGUUAGAAUGCUCAAAACCCAUCAGUGGUAUCAGAGCCUAGGCUUGUUUGUUUGUUAUUUGUGCUUAAAAGUUGAAGAAAGUCGAAAAUUCUGCUGUCUGACUGAUGGACUCGGCGAGUCCAUGGGGAGGACUCGUCGAGUUCAUGUGUAUCUUCAACCUACUCGGCGAGUAGGUUUAUGCACUCGGCGAGUAGGGUCGACAGAGUGCAGAAUUUCGACUUGAGUUGCUGGAAAUGGAUUAGAAUCAUUACCCUAAAAUGUUUUGGUACUUGAAAACUUAUUUUAGAAGGUGUAAUGUCUUUUCUAACUCAUUUACAACAACUAGUUAUCAAAAUUACAAAGAUUAAAUGUGAUUUUGAUUCUUGAAAGUGUUCAUAUUCAUAUUCUUGUUCUUAUGAUGUUUAGAUGAUCAUAGGAAUUAUUUGUAACCUAUGUGGUAGAUUAAUUCAUGAUCAUAAUGUGUUUUAAUGGAGUCCAUAACUUGUCCUCAAGUUAUGGAAAACCAAAAGUCUCUUGGAUUAAAAACCAUUAAAAGAACACAAGAGUUAGGAAAAAUGAAAAGUCCUCAUUUUAUUACUCUAUUAAACUCAUAAGUUACAAGAAAUGAAAAGUUUUGAAAGUUUACAAAACUUGCCCUCAAGUUUUGGAACAAGUAAAGUUAAGUUAAAACUUUAGUUCCAACCCCUAGAAUUUUAAAAGUUAAAAUUCAACCCUUAUACUUAUAUUAUUAUGAUUUAAUAAUUAUAUAUAUAUGUAUAAGAACAAAGUCGUCUUACCGCUAGUACGCCUCAUUCACGAAGCCGGUCUAUAAGGUGGGUAUAAGGUUGUUGCCUAUAAAAUGGUGACUUAAUGGGUGUCCACUCUCACCCACCGCUUGCUUGAUCGGUGGAGGGUCGUUAGCCGAACGGGUAAGACAAGGACUUAUUAAUUCUCAUUCAAAGUAUGAUGAAUAUUAUAAAGUAACUAAAUGUUUUAUUAAAUUCCCAAUCUUAGUUACUUUAGGAAAAAUGUGAAUAAGGUGCUAUUCCAUGAAAUUACACUUUACACUUUGAUUAAGUCGUUGGUGGAGCGUGUGUGGUUAACCGGCACACUAACUUGGACUUAACAAGGUAGGUAAAGGGUGACUUAGGGUUUAUUAUAGUAUCGAUGGAGCGUGUGUGGUUAACCGGCACAUCGAUUGAGUGAUAAACUUUAAGGGUACCAAGUGAUUUGCAUGGUUACUUCACACCUCGUUUUGUGAUCCUCGGUAUCCCAGUCACAAAACUUGGAGGGCACACUCGAGAUUGAAACAUGCCUUUGAAAAGUUCAUUGAAUCUCAAAGAAUCUAGGAAUUUCUAAGAACCAUUCAAAAACCUAAUACUAAAAUAUUGCGGUUUUCGUGGUGGAAAUUGGUGAAUCGUCAUUCACCUACCUUUCAAAUAUGAUAUAGCUUAGAUUACGGCAUACCUCUUCUAAGUUAUAUUAUAUUGUGAUUGGAUCCUAGCCUUAAUAUUACAUUUGGGUGUUUUAUUAAGGACUCUCUUAUAUCUAAACUAAUCUUGUCCUCUUUCCUUCAGAUGUCUUUCAACAAUGCUUCUGGCUCUAAUCCUAAUGGCUCCUUUACCCUUAUGAACUUGUGUGGGAAAGUCACCUUUGAUGGAUCCAACUUCAAUGAGUGGAUCAGAAACAUCAGGAUGAUUACCCGCUACGAGGACAAAGAAUAUGUCCUUGACAAGGAGCUUAAGGAGAUUGAUGAGUCCACUGCAACUCCUCAGGAGAUCGCUGAAUUUCGGGCACAUGAAAGGGAUGCUACGAAAGUGGCUUGCAUCAUGAUGGCCACGAUGACAGCGGAACUCCAAAAGUCUUAUGAGGAUUUCUACCCUUAUGACAUGCACCAAGAUUUGAUGGAAAGAUACCAUCAAAGUGCAAGACAAGAGAGGUAUGAAAUCAUCUGCUCCAUGAUAACAACCAUGAUGAAGGACGGGGAAUCCGUCACGAGCCACAUGCAGAAAAUGCAAAGGUAUGUGGAUCGUUUGCUGAAGCUUAAUGUGAACUUCCCGGAGGAUCUUGCAAUAGAUAUUAUUUUGCAUUCCUUACCAUCGUGCUAUGAUCAAUUCCGCAUGACAUAUCACAUGAACAAGGAAGAAGUCACCCUCAGCAAACUUCAGGGACUUCUCAAGACCGCAGAAACAGGUCUUAAGGGGAAGUCGGUUGCUAUCACUCCUACUCAAAACUCUACUCCGGUUUUGGCAAUCGGGAAAAGUCGAGGGAGGAAGAGAAAGAGCUCUUCUAAGGGUACCAAGGCUCGGACCCUUGAUGGCUCUUCUUCAAGUGGAACCAAGAAAGGUUUCGUUACUCCUUCUUCUGACCCAAAAGAGGCUGAAUGCUUCUAUUGCCAUGAAAAAGCUCAUUGGAAGCGGAACUGCCCAAAAUACCAGCAAGAUGUGAAGGAUGGGAAAGUUAAACCCAACCAUGCAGGUAUUUACACUAUCAUUUCUAAUAACUCACCCCAUUCUAAUUCUUGGGUCCUUGAUACCGGGUGUGGUAUUCACAUUUGUUGUGACUUGCAGGGACUAAGAAGAAGUGAGGAUGUGGAGCAAGGAAGGAUAAACUUGAUCAUGGGGAAUAGGAAAGCUAUACCUGUUACCAAGAUUGGAGUUUAUACUUUAUCGCUAAGUAGUGGGUUUAGUUUAGAUUUGAAUAAGUGUUGUUAUUCGCCAGGAAUGGCAAGAAAUAUUAUUUCCUUUCAUGCUUUGUACAAACAAGGGUUUACCUUUUCAUUUAAUAAUGAAGUUGGUUCUAUAGAUGUUUUCUAUAAUAAUGUCUUUUAUUUUAAAGCAUUACCUUGUGAUGGUGUGUAUGAAGCUGUAUCUGUUGUAGAUAACUUGGGAAAUAAUGUUUUGUGUAUUGAUUCUACUAAUAAUAACUUGGAUAAAGCAUCUUUAUGGCAUUGUCGUCUUGGACAUAUAAGCAAGAAACGCAUAGGCCAACUCCAAAAGGAUGGAGUCUUGGAGUCGUUUGACCUAAAGUCAGAUGAUAGUUGCGAAUCAUGCUUACUUGGAAAAAUGACAAAGUCACCCUUCACAGGUUCGUGUGAGAGGGGUGAAGGUUUGUUGGACCUUAUACACACGGAUGUGUGUGGACCAUUCAAACAUGCCACAAGGGAUGCUAAUCGUUAUUAUUUGACUUUUACUGAUGAUUAUAGUAGAUAUGGAUAUGUCUACUUGAUCAAGCAUAAGUCAGAGACUUUCGAGAGGUUUAAGGAAUUUAAACAGGAAGUCGAGAAUCAAUUGGGCAGGAACAUUAAGAUGCUUCGAUCCGAUCGUGGUGGUGAGUAUCUUAGUUCAGAGUUCCUCGACUAUCUAAGGGAAUGUGGGAUAGUCUCACAAUUGACACCUCCCAGGACACCACAGUUGAAUGGUGUGGCUGAGAGGCGUAAUCGAACCUUGUUAGAUAUGGUUCGUUCCAUGAUGAGUCGAGCUACGCUACCAAUCUCAUUCUGGGGGUAUGCCUUAGAGACUGCCGCCCAUAUUCUUAAUCUAGUCCCUACAAAGAAAGUUGCCAAAACUCCUCACGAGAUGUGGACUGGUAAAGUACCUAAACUAGACCACAUCAAGAUUUGGGGUUGCGAGGCUUUCGUGAGACGCGAGACUCAUGAUAAGCUCGAACCUCGAAGCGAGAGGUGUAUUUUCAUCGGUUACCCACAGCGAUCCUUUGGUUACCUCUUCUACAGACCUAGUGACAAUGUGGUCUUUGUAGCAAGAAGAGGAGUCUUUCGAGAAAGAGAGUUUAUAAGCCAAGGAGACAGUGGGAGGCAAAUUGAUCUUGAAGAAAUUCAAGAAUCAAGCGGUGAAGGAACUUCAAACUCUAGCCCUCAACUUGAGGAGGAAACUCCUGUUGAGCCAAUUGACAAAUCUGUACCUCUGAGACGUUCCACGAGAGUUAGGAGUGCACCUGAGCAUUACUAUGGAUUCCAUAUUACUGCAGAAGGUGAGACACUUAUUAGUGAUGAGACACUAGUAAGUCAAGAUGACCCUAACAGCUACGAGGAAGCCAUGGCAGGCCCCGAGUCUGCUAAAUGGAAAGAGGCUAUGGAUAGCGAGAUACAAUCCAUGUAUGACAAUCAAGUUUGGAACUUGGUUGAAAAUGUACCAGGUCGUAAGACAGUAGGGUGCAAAUGGGUCUUCAAGAAGAAGACCGACAUGGAUGGUAAAGUACACACUUAUAAGGCUAGACUGGUUGCAAAGGGCUUCUCUCAAAUUCCUGGAGUGGAUUAUGAUGAGACCUUUUCUCCGGUAGCCAAGAUUAAGUCUAUUCGGGUUCUGUUAGCCAUAGCUGCAUUUCAUGACUAUGAAAUAUGGCAGAUGGAUGUCAAAACCGCUUUCCUUAAUGGAAAGUUGGCUGAAGAUGUUUACAUGAGUCAGCCAGAGGGUUUUGUCAGCAACGAGUACCCUAAUAGAGUGUGUAAGCUUGAGAAAUCCAUUUAUGGAUUGAAGCAAGCACCUCGCAGAUGGAAUCUUUGCUUUGAUGAAAAGGUCAAGGAAUUUGGCUUUUCUAGGAGUGAAGAUGAAUCUUGUGUGUAUGUCAAGGCUAGUGGGAGUAUAGUUAGCUUUUUGGUAUUGUAUGUGGAUGACAUACUACUCAUAGGAAACGACAUUCCAACCCUGCAGGAAGUAAAGUCCUGGCUUGGGAAGUGUUUCGCUAUGAAGGACCUUGGUGAAGCUGCCUAUAUUCUAGGGAUAAGAAUCUUGAGAGAUCGGAGUAAAAGACUAAUUGGACUUAGUCAGAGUACCUACUUGGAUAAGGUGCUGAAGAGAUUCAGCAUGCAGGAUUCCAAGAAAGGAGAGUUACCCAUCCAGAGUAACACCAGAUUGAGUAAGACACAAAGCCCUAGCACUGAGGCUGAGAUAGCAGAAAUGAGUCGAACACCUUAUGCUUCGGCUGUAGGAUCGAUCAUGUAUGCUAUGACGUGUACUCGACCCGAUGUAGCUUUUGCCUUGAGCAUGGUUAGCAGGUAUCAGGCGAACCCUGGCAAGGCACACUGGACUGCGGUAAAGAAUAUCCUCAAGUACCUACGGAGGACUAAGGACUGGGUCCUUACCCUCGGUGGGAGUGAUGACUUGAGAGUUGUAGGGUAUAGUGAUGCUAGCUUCCAGACUGAUAGGGAUAAUUUCCGCUCUCAGUCGGGCUGGGUCUUUACCCUAAACGGAGGAGCAAUUUCUUGGAAGAGUUCCAAGCAAGAGACAGUGGCAGAUUCUACUUGUGAAUCAGAGUAUAUUGCAGCUAGCGAGGCAGCAAAGGAGGCGAUAUGGCUGAAGAACUUCAUUGGAGACCUUGGAGUUGUACCAGCUAUUAAAGAGCCAAUGGAAAUUUUCUGUGAUAGUGAAAGUGCUGUUGCCUUAGCCAAGGAACCAAGGGAUCAUGGGAGAUCCAGACACAUCGACAGAAAAUACCAUUUCAUUAGACAUCGGAUCGAAGAAGGACUCCUCGUGGCAAAGAGGGUAUCAUCGGAUGAGAACCCAGCAGAUCCCCUCACGAAGGGACUGAGUAGGGUUAAGCAUCUCCAGCAUGCUCGGAGCAUAGGGCUGAAGGAUGAUAUAAGUUUUAGUAGUUAGAUAACCCAGAAAUUUGUAAAGUGUAAUUGACAUUUGAUGAUGAAUAAAAGGUGUUUUAUUUAUGAGUAAAGUGUUGCUAUCUCUUGUCGAUCGUUUACUAUAUUUCUUUUGCAUGUUUUGACUUCCAGAAUAAUUUUGUUUGGUAUAACAUAUUAUUCAAACCUCCACAGUCGGUCAUAUGUCGGAAGUAGGUAUGAAUCAAGACUGUCAUGAUGGGUUGCAGAGGUCUAAGGUGUUGGACAAGGCUACAACAAUCAUGAGUGCUCAUAAGUUCUGAGCAUUGGACUCAACCCACGCUCACUGGAAUCACUUCAUGGAAUUUUAUCUCGAGUGAUCGUGAGACGGUAAUAUCAUAUAAGUCUUCAAACCUAGAGAUAUGAUUUGUUACUUACGAGUUGGUUAUGCAUUGAUUGUACGAAAACGCAUUGGUAACUCGAUGUUAUAAAACGUGCUUUUGUGUGUAAUUCAAUGAGUGGUAGAACAAACAUAUGAGUCGAAGUUUAUCUGUUCCUUCUUGGAUUAGAAGCUGAUAUCUGGGCCCCUCGAUGAUUUUGUUUUGACCUAUGUACCGGGCCCGGUCAGAACUAAAUUGAUGUGUUCAGUUGAGUUCUAUGUCAAACAAAUCGGAAAUCGGGAAACAAAUGCUGGACAAUAAGUAAGACAAUGUUCCAUGUAUUUGUCCGGCUGAUAUCUAGAACAGAGGAUUAUAUGAUCACUUAUCUAAAUGGCGCGUUCUAGUUCAACAGAGUUUAAAGAGCUACGAGUGCUGAUCGGUUCCUGAAGUUAUACUUGCAAAUAUAGUUACUAGACUUAUCCAAGUGGGAGACUGUUGGAUAUAGUGUCUAAGCCCAUAACUAUAUUUGGUAUGUACUUGACCCGACCCGGCAUGGUCCAUUUGGGUUGCACUUCACCCGAACAAUUUAUGGAUAAUAUUUGAGAAUAGUACAAGUUAUGAUUUAUUAAUAUAUUAUAAGUUCUAAUAUAUUAAUAUAAGAUCAUAUUAUUUAAUUAGUAGUGAUCUAUAAUUAAUCUAGGAUUAAUUUAGUGAUCAAAGAUAUUACUAAUUAAAUAUGGGCUUCUAUAUUUAUAUAGUGUGGGCUUAUGCUUAUUUGGAAUGGGCUAGGCUUGGAUGGAGAAGUCCAUGGAUACUCCAUGGAGCUUUAACCCAUGGAUCUCAUGGAAAUGAAGAGACAUGGGUAUUAGGGUUUACAUGGAUGUAACCCUAAUCCACCACACUAUAUAAAGGAGGCGUUGGUUCUUGAAAUCACACUAGUUGACACUUGUGGAGUUGAGGGCCGAUUUCAAGAAGUGGUGACUAUUCUCUCAAAGUUCCAAGUUUGUGGUGAUUUUUGACUUUCAUUUGAGGCAUCCACAUUAUUGGUGCUAGGCUCAAGAACUCCAAGCAAUCAACUACAUCUACAAGGUAAGUGUUUCUACUAGCUUUAUUUGAUUCAAGUUCCCCAUGACAUGCUAGUUAGGAUAUAAAUCUUGGAAAAUUAAUUAUUUGCAUGUAUCUUAGACAAACAUAGAUCCAAGGUUUAUUAGGGUUGCAUGUACACUUAGGAAGUGUUAGAAUGCUCAAAACCCAUCAAAUAUAACAUCCCGAUUCCCAAGUAUCGGUUUAAAUAAAAGCUAUUUGGUUUUGAGACCUACUCGACGAGUUUGUUGCCCUACUCAUCGAGUAGCAGCGAGGUGGGAUCGUGUAUUUAGUGGCCUACUCGCCGAGUCCAGAAAGGGAAUCGAAGAGUAGGAGCUAGCAGAUGAAACCCUAAAUCCCGGGGUUUUGCACCCUAUUUAAAGAGGUAUAAGCCCCCUUUAGCCUCUUUGCAGUCCAUUGAGAAACCCUAAUUCGUGUGGCGUUCAUUCUUAUGUGUCUUGAGCUUUAGAGAGGAGUUUUUGGGAAGGAAGAGCUUGGAGGACAAGAGAUUAUGAGCGAAGAAGGGCUUUUAUGGCAUAUUUGAGAUGAUAAUGUGGAGUAUGAGCUAGAUCUGAAGUUGUAACUUCGGAUCUGGACCUUUCUUGGGUUAUAGAGUUAGAAAGUUAUGAAUAGGACAUAUAUGAAGCCUUCCUUGAGUAUGAAACCCGAUUAUAGGCUUGGAUUUGUCAUUUAGAGCCUUUGUAGCCAUGCAUGCACGUAAAGUUUGCAACUUUACGUGAAAUGCAUGCCUUAGAAGCUUGGAUCUGUAAUUUGGAGCCACUGCAUGGCUUAAAAAGAGUCUGUAUGGCUUAUGAACAGAAGGAGCUCGGAGAGUUGCAAGUUCGACUUGGCGAGUCAUAUGAAGAUAGACCUGGACUCGACGAGUCGGAUAAACAACUCGGCGAGUCCGAUUAAGAUUGCCAAGGAACUCGACGAGCGGUAUAAACCAAUCAGCGAGUCGGAUGAGUUUUCCCCAAUUUAGGUAUAUGUGCGUAACUGUCGAGUUGCAAGAAGGAAACUCGACGAGUGGCCUUAGAGAUCAAUCGUAAACCAAAGGAACUCGUCGAGUAACUCCGUGACUCGGUGAGUGGGCAAGUACUUCAAGGAACUCGAUGAGUAGUCGAGGGUACUCGGCGAGUUAGGGUCAACAUGGACUGUUGACCUUGACUGAUGACCUUGAUUUUGACCAGGGUUUGAUUAGUGGCAUUUGGGAUACCUUGAAAGGUUGGGAACUUAUGGGUAUAAUUAUAUUAUGGUAAUAGGUUGUGGAGCUUUGUCAGUUAUCCGAGAGUUGGAGUUCAUCUACCGAGUCGACAUCUGCAAGGUGAGUUAUCCUCACUAUAUCAAUAGUGUCUAAGGCACCAAGGCCGGCCCUUUAGUUUUUAUUGUUAUGGUAUGCUACCUAUGGUUAUCAUUUGUUAUAUUAGAAUCAGGAUAGACAAUAUGUUAGGCUCUUUUGAUCUGUAGGGAUUGGUACGAUAGUAACCUGCUAGGUCGAUGUUGUAGUUAUGAGAGAUUGCUAUGAUUGAUGAUCAGUGAGAUAGAUAUGUUUGUGUUUAUAUAUGCCAGUACAUGCUAGUUAUGCGCACAGGUUAUUUGCUUAUUGAUUGGGUUGAGGUGGUCCUGCUUUGUGCUGAAGGCCAACACACCCUAUGAGCGGUCUGGGGAGACUGUAGGCCCACGUGGCGGUCCAGUUAUGCCGAAGGCUCAGGACAGAUUCAGUUAGACUGUAGGCCCUACAGGGCGGUCCAGUCAAGCUGAUGGCCUAGUAUGCAUGUUGUUGAUUGUUUGUUAUUGAUAUGGUAUUAUCGGUGUGGUGUUGGUAUUUUGGGGGUAGCUCAUUAAGCCCUUGGGCUUACAGUUUCAGUUUAUUGUUUUAGGUACUUCAGGAGAUCAUGGCAAGGCGAAGGCAUGACCGUACCGCUCCUCAUCCUUUUGAUCUAGUUAUUGGGACACUCUGAUGAAUAAUGAUUUGAAAACAUUUUAUAAACAAAUACUAUUUGGUUUUAUCUAUGAUUGAAAAAGUUUAAAUUUGGCGUAAAAUUUUUGGAUGUUACAAGUUUGUAUCAGAGCCUUGGUUUGACUGAAUUGGAGGAACACUCGUGUGAAUCCAGUCUUAAAUCAAGGGAAUUUUCGAAAUAAUUACUAAAAUUGUUUUCAUAAUAAGGAUGGAGGAUGCAGAGGGUACGAUCAGCCGGAGCCUGUAUGUAAACCCCAAAAUACCAUACAGUUAUUUGAUAUUAUGAUAUGAUAGAACAGCAUGCUAUUGCUAGGCUAGGAGUCUUCACGAAUCACAUGAUAAGAUUUUCCUGAUUAUAUGGUGCCUGCUAGCCUAGGGUUUCUUGUAUAUGGAAUUGACAUCAUAACUGUAGAUGUUUAGUGUAUGCAUCACGGCUGUGUAUAAUCAAGAUCUUAUAGCCUGAGAAUGUCUGAUUCGACCUUAGUGUAGGAUUAGAUAUUCGAAAGUCUAUUGGGUCCAACGUUAUGUGUGGCAAGCAUACACUAGUUCUGCAGGGUUGGUGAAAGUUUCAUGGAUGUGUGAGUUAUGAGAAGCUGCGAGACCAGUUGCGAGAUAGUCGAUAUUCCCCAGGGGUGAGGGUUGAGCGCAUAUUAUGUUGAUGAUAUUGUUAUGGCGUUGUGAUGAUACUUGAGAAAAAUAUGGGUAGGUAUGGAAGGUAGUAUGGGCCCAUACUACUGAAAGCACAGGACCCAUAUGCGUAGCAAGGAAGUCACAACCCCUAGGGUUGUGGGAAUUGGUCUCCUGAUAUUAUGUCAUUUAUCUGACGUCUUGGUUAUAUUUUUCAGUAUGGUGGUGACGAGACGUUUUGCUACUGGAUCCGGUUCAGGGUUAGGAUCGGGAUUAGGAUCGGGAGACGGAGGGUCGGAGGUGCCGGUAGCACCUGAGCCUAUGGUACAGAUAGGGACAGAGGAGUUGGAUGCCAGGAUCCAGGAGAUUCUGCACGAUGAGAUUGCUGCGGCGUUCUAAGCGCAGCUGGCAGAGAUGUUUGGGUCGAUUAAGACCGUAAUUGUUGAGUACUUUGAUGAGUGAUAUACAGCUUUAGCAGAGAUAGUUGCCGCUGCAGCCACAUCGGUUGUAACCGCGGCAGGGGUUGGAGGAGGAGCCGUUAGGGUUUUCCGAUAUCGGGACUUCGAUAACACGAAGCCCCGGACAUUUGAUGGUACGCAGGAUGCGAUCAGGGCUAUGAGGUAGUUAUCUGACGUGGAGGGUUGUUUCUUCACAUGUUCAUGUUCAGCUGACCAGAAGGUCAGGUGUGCCAUGAACAUGCUGAGGCUUGGGGAAAAGGACUGGUGGGGAUUGACGAUGUAACACUCUAAAAAUUCAAGCCAAUUUAAACUUUUCAAAAACAACCCAAUUUCAUUAAGUUAUUACAAAAAGGUUUUCAAUACAUUUAUUAUCAGAGUAUCCCCAGAACCAUAUCAUAAAACAAGAACAUGAGGAGCGGUACAAUCACGCCUUCGCCUUUCCACAGUCUCCCGAAGUACCUGAAAACAUUAAACCACAACUGUAAACCCGAAAGCUUAGUGAGAUACCCCAAAAUACCAACCACAUAUACCAUACAUAUAAUAUAUCAUAACAAAACAGAACAGCCAUGCACUUCGGAUCUACUGUGUGAUUGGUUCGCUGCACUAGGCCUUCAGUCCACCUGGUCCACCCUCCGAGUCUAGCCAUAUACAUCGACUCUACAAUGUGAUUUGUCCGCCCGCACCGGGCCUUCAAUCCACUUGGUCCACUCUUUGAGUCUACAGUAUGACUGGUCCGCCCGCACCGGGCCUUCAGUCGGCCUGUUCCACUCUCCGAGCCUCGGCACGUCUAGUCCGCCCUCAUGGGGUCUACAGCCUAUCCGGACCGCUCGUUGGGCCUUCGGAAUAUCCGGUCCACCCUCGGUAUGUUGGCCUACAACACACAGCAGGACCCGCCUCAACCCAACCCCAGUCAACCAACCAUGUGCACAUAAACAUAUAACCAUAUAACAAUUAAUCAUCAAUCAACCGAUCUAGCAGAUCACAUACAUAGCAUACUCUAAACAGGAUACCGACCUAACCGGUCACUAAUAUAGCAUCAUCCUAUGUACCAAGAUACCGACCUUAACUAGGUGUCUAACAUAUACCAUCCUAACUACCAGGAUGCAAACAUAGCAAAGCAAUAACAUAACAACAAUACCCGGAUUACAAUCCGAUAAAGGGCCGGCCUUGGUGCCUUAGACCCUGUCGAUAUAGUGAGGAUAACUCACUUGGAAACUACUGACUGAAAAGAUAAGCUCACGCUGCUCCAACCUCCGACACGAACUCCACCACUGAUCAAUACCAAAUGACUGAACUCAAUAAAUACCAAUAAUUACCAAAAUACCCUUGGAAGUCAACUGGUCAACUCUUGGUCAAAGUCAAAGUCAACCUUCCUGACUGACUCUACUCGCCGAGUAAGCCCGCUGACUCGUCGAGUCCCUAUGCUCUGAAAACUCCCAUAUCGCGACCCAACUCGCCGAGUCGCCCCAAGACUCGCCGAGUCCCACGAACUCUGAGUCACUUCCUACUCAACUCAUCGAGUCGUCCCUCGACUCACCGAUUCAUAGCUCAACCAAAAAGGUUAGGACUUGGCGACUAGACUCGCCGAGUCCAAGGCAAUCUUCAACAGAUUCGUCGAGUUAUUCUUCCAACUCGCCGAGUUCCUGCCUUUCUUCAUCCAGCUCGUCGAGUACAUCCAUGUGACUCGCCGAGUACCUCUAGUUCUUAAUCCAUGCAGUGGCUUUCUAAGCCAUGCAGUGACUCCAAUCCAUAGAUCCAACCUCCUACAACCUUCCCCACACGUAAAGGUGCAAACUUUACGUGAAACCAUGGGGAAAUAAGCCCAAAAUACUCUAGGGCUAAGGAUUAAGGCAAAGGGACUUCACCAACCACUCUAGGACAGCACCUUUACAAAAAAUAGGAUCAUUACAAGAUUGGAUUUGAGGUUUCAACUUCAGAUCUAGCUUCUAAACUCGAAAUUGAUUCCACUCAAGCCAUAAUCCCCAAAAUAGCAACCAAGAACGAAUCUAGAAGAAGGAAACUCAAGGUAACAGAUUGUUACCUCAGAAAUGAUCCAAAGGAGGAGUAGAUCCCUGAUCUACAAUGAUAUCCAGAUGCUAGCCUCUUGAUCUUCAACCUUCUUUUUCUCAAUUUCUCUUCCCAAGCUCUAAUUCUUCAUCAAUGGAGGUUAUACACGAUUUUAGGGUUUUCUAGGUAUUGGAAGGUAACAAAGAGGCUAAGGGUGGGUUAUAAUGUCCUUUAUAUAGGGCACAAUCCCGAAAAUUAGGGUUCUCUCCACCUAGCACCAACUCGCCGAGUCACUCCUCCGACUCGCCGAGUUGGUCACUUAACACAUGACCAGAUUCGCGACCCGACUCGCUGAGUCUAACCAUUGACUCGUUGAGUCGGUCUUCCAUAUUUACACUAAGCACCCUGAACUUUGCUCUUCUGAACUCGAGGUGUUACAGACGACAGGGUCGUACACUGAUCAUUAGCGAGCUGUUGUUACUUGGGAGCAGUUCCGGAUAUGUUCCGCACACGCUACGUUCCAUGCGUUGAGCAGGAGCGACUUGCUCAGGAGUUUUUGACAUUGAGGCAGGAUGGGGAGUCAGUGAUGGAAAUCACUCAUAUGUUCACGUAGAAGGCUAUGUUUUGCCCGAAGUUUGCUUCAGAGCAGUCUCAGAUGACUCAUUAUAUGAGUAUGCUCAAGAUGGAUAUUCGACAGUUUGUUGCUACGCAAUGUUGUGAGACGCUUCUGGAUCUUUAGGAAGCCACGAGGUGGCGUGAGUUAGAGAUAGAGUUGCAGUUGAGGGAGCAGCGUCAGGUUCCGGCACAGUCUCAACCGGCACCUAAGCAGUCCAAGACCUUUGAUACUCAGACCGGGGGUCAAUAGAGCCGUACUUGUGGAAAGUGUGGCAGGGGUCAUUUUGGGGUUUGUUGUGCAGGAGGUGGUUGCCACAAAUGUCGCAAGGAGGGGCACUAUGCCAGGGACUAUCGCCAGUCCGCCCCUCCAGCAGAUAUGAGGAUUUGUUACCACUGUCAUCAGGUUGGUCACGUGAAGACCAACUCUUCAUAGCUCGCCGUCAAGCCGGCACAGGGAUCCACAUCGGCUACUUUGAGGAUUGGGGAUGGGAGGCCAGUCAAGGUGGAGCCUCCGAAGGCUCAGGGGCGCGCCUUCCAACUUACGGCCGAGGAGGCCAAGGCAGCACCGAAUGUGGUUGCUAGUAUGUUUCUAUUUUCCAUCUAGGUUAUUAUAUUUGUGGUAUGUUUAUCAGUUGAACCUACGGUUAGGUACGUUUCUAGUAAACUCUUUUCCUGCUUUGGUUCUUUUUGACUCGGGGGCGAGUCGGUCGUUUGUAUCUCAGGCUUUCAGUAGAGAAUUUAGGGUGUCGGUAGAUGAGCUUGAGUGUCCGUUGCCAGUUUCGAUCGCCAACAAACACGGGGUUUCUGCUUCUUCGGUCUACCGGGGAUGUGAGUUGGAGAUUUUCAGGGUAUCCUUCCCGAUAGAUUUGAUUCCUAUCCCCAUGGGGGAAGUAUGUGUGAUCGUAGGGAUGGAUUGGCUCAGUCGGUUUGGCAUUAUGAUCAACUGUGAGGGACAGCGAGUGGUAAUUCGAACCCCAAGUGGGGGAGAAUUGGUGGUGUAUGGUGAGGGCACUAGAGUGGGAGCAGGGUUUUGUUCAGCCGCCAGGGCUCGACAGUUUAUUCAGCACAGGUGUGCCGGCUAUUUAGCGUAUGUGAUGGAUACGCAGAUUGGAGAUCAUGCUUCAGUUUUAGAGGUUCUAGUGGUUAGAGAAUUUCCUGAUGUGUUUCCAGAGGAGUUACCUGGAGUGCGUCUAGAGAGGCAGGUAAAGUUCAGGAUUGAUCUAGUGUCGGGUGUGGCCCNUUCCAGAGAGGCAGGUAAAGUUCAGGAUUGAUCUAGUGUCGGGUGUGGCCCCUAUCGCUAAGGCGUCGUACCCUCUGGCAUCGCCAGAGAUGCAGGAGUUGGCAUCUCAGUUACAUGAGCUGUUGGGUAAGCAUUUCAUUCGCCUGAGUAGUUCUCCUUGGGGAGCACCAAUCCUCUUCGUCUGGAAGAAUGAAGGUUCGCACAGGAUGUGCAUUGACUAUAGGGAGUUGAACAAGUUAACGGUGAAGAACCGUUAUCCACUUCCGAGGAUAUAUGGUCUUUUUGAUCAGUUGCAGGGUGCAUCUUGGUUCUGCAAGAUCGAUUUGAGAUCCGGAUAUCACCAGGUCAGGGUGAGGGAGGAAGACAUGGAGAAGACCGCAUUUCGGACUCGUUAUGGUCAUUACGAGUUCGUGGUGAUACCGUUUGGGCUCUCCAACGCACCGACAGUGUUCAUAGAUUUGAUGAACUGAGUCUGCAGAUCGAUGCUCGAUCGCUCGGUCAUUGUGUUCAUAGAUGAUAUCGUGGUAUAUUCCAAGACUUGAGAGCAGCACGAUGAGCACCUCAGGGAGCUGCUGGAGGUUCUGUGGCGAGAACGGCUGUAUGCCAAGUUCUCGAAGUGUGAGUUUUGGUUACGAGAGGUCCAGUUCCUCGGGCAUCUCGUUAACCAGGAAGGGAUUUUGGUCGACCCAGCCAAAGUAGAUGUGUUUAUGCAGUGGGAGAUUCCGAAAUCUCCCUCAUACAUCAGGGGUUUCUUGGGAUUAGCAGGGUACUGUCGGAGAUUCAUUCGAGAUUUCUCCAAGAUUGCAGUACCCCUCACUAGUCUAACGAGGAAGGGAGUGGAUUUUUGGUGGGGCCCAGAGCAGCAGAGGGCGUUUGAGACCCUCCGAUAGAGUUUAUGCAAGGCGCUAGUAUUGACACUCCCCGAGGGAGUCGAGGAUUUUGUAGUAUUUUGUGAUGCAUCCAUCACAGGUUUGGGGGCAGUCCUCAUGCAGAGGGGACGAGUGAUAGCCUAUGCAUCGCGGCAGCUAAAGCCGCAUGAGACGAGAUACCCUACGCACAAUCUUGAGUUGGGAGUGAUGGUAUUCGCUCUCAAGAUUUGGAGGCAUUAUCUGUACGGGGUCCGAUGUACUAUAUACACGGAUCACAAGAGUUUGAGGCACAUUAUGGAUCAACCGAACCUAAACAUGAGGCAGCGCAUGUGGCUGGAUGCUGUUAAGGACUACGAUUGGGAGAUCCUUUUCCAUCCUGGUAAAGCGAAUGUGGUUGCGGAUGCUUUGAGGCGCAAGUCAGCUGGGUCUUCUACCCCGACGAGGUGUAUGAGGAUAGCGGUGGAUUCCCCGCUUGUGAGCUUGAUUAGGGAUGCUCAGGUUGAGGGAAUGAGACCAGAGAGCUAGAAGUUGGAGAGGAUUAAGGGCGAGAGCGCCCGGUUUGUUCAGGAUAGUUACGGGUUAUUAACCCGACACGGUCGGGGUUAGGUUCCGAUGAACGGAGGGGUCCGACAGACAGUGAUGGAGGCGGUUCAUAAGUCUCACUUUUCUAUACACCCGGGGGCCACCAAGAUGUACCGCGAUCUGAGUUUGAGUUACUGGUGGCCCGGUAUGAAGGGAGAAAUCGCUUGGUUUGUCGAGAGGUCCCUGACUUGUAGGAUGGUCAUGGCCGAGCAUCAGAGGCCACAUGGUAAGUUGCAGCCUCUGGAGAUUCCCAUGUGGAAAUGGGAGCAGAUCAUGAUGGACUUCAUUACGAAGUUGCCAAGAACGGCGAAGGGGUUUGAUGCCAUAUUGGUCAUCGUGGAUCGGUUGACCAAGAGUGCCCAUUUCUUGGCUAUACGGGAGAGUUCGUCGAUUGAGAAAUUGGCUGACAUGUACGUCAGUGAGAUUGUCUCUCGCCAUGGAUUUCUGGUCUCCAUUGUUUCUGAUUGGGAUGUCAGGUUUACUUCCCGUUUUUGGCAGAAGUUCCAUGAGGAACUGGGUAUGUGGUUGUACUUUAGUACAAUGUUACAACCGUAGACCGAUGGACAGAUUGAGCGAAGCAUUCAGACCCUCGAAGAUAUGUUGAGGGCGUGCGUCAUUGAUUUCGGAGGGAGUUGGGAUUCCCACCUGCCGCUUGCAGAGUUUGCCUACAACAACAGCUAUCAUUCCAGUAUUGGCGCCCCGCCUUUUGAGUUGUUGUAUGGUAGAAGAUGUAGAACCCUAGUUUGUUGGGGUGAGAUUGGACACAGAGUGAUGGGUCAGAUAGAGGUAGUCUUGCAGACUACCGAAAAGAUCCAGCAGAUCAGACAACGGCUGCAGACUGCGGCAAAAGAGUUACGCUGAUAGACGCCGAUCAGAUUUGGAGUUUCAGGUUGGUGAUAUGGUACUUCUGAAGGUCUCACCCUAGAAGGGCGUGAUCCGUUUCAGGAAGAGGGGAAAAUUGGGUCCCCGUUAUAUUGGGCCAUUCAGGAUUAUUUCCAGGGUUGGUAAGGUGACUUAUAGGCUAGAGCUACCGGAGGAGCUCAGCCGAAUUCACAGCACGUUCCAUGUUUCUCAAUUGCGAAAGUGCGUUAUGGACCAAGAGGCGAUAGUAUUACUGGAUGGUAUUUAGGUUGAUGAGUGCCUGAAUUACGUGGAGAGUCAUGUGGCCAUCUUGGAGAGGAAGAAGAAAAUUUUACGGAACAAAGAAAUACCUUUGGUGAAGGUGUAGUGGGAACAUCGGAGGGGAUCCGAGUGGACAUGGGAGCCGGAGGCGGAGAUGCACAAGCAUUACCCGACAUUGUUUGCUCCAGCAAACUUCGAUGGCGAAGUCUAGUUCAAGUGGGGGAGAAUUGUAACAUCAUGAUUCCCAAGUAUGGGUUUAAAUAAAAGCUAUUUGGUUUUGAGACCUACUUGACGAGUUUGUUGCAUUCUCGUCGAGUAGUAACGAGGUAGGAUCGUGUAUUUAGUGGCCUACUCGCCGAGUCCAUAAAGGGACUCGACAAGUAGGAGCUGGUAGAUGAAACCCUAAAUAUCAGGGUUUUGCACCCUAUUUAAAGAGGCAUAAGCCCCCUUUAGCCUCUUUGUAGUUCAUUGAGAAACCUUAAUUCGUGUGGUGUUCAUCCUUGUGUGUCUUGAGCUUUAGAGAGGAGUUUUUGGGAAGGAAGAGCUUGGAGGACAAGAGAUUAAAAGCAAGGAAGAUGUGGGAAUCAGAAAUCUACCUCAGUUGGCAUCAUUUGAAGGUAUCAAGUCACCACCUUUACUUCAUUUUCCUCCUAGACCUCAUUUGGUUAAGAUUUAGGGCUUUUAUCGCAUAUUUGAGAUAAUAAUGUGGAGUAUGAGCUAGAUCUGAAGUUGUAACUUCGGAUCUGGACCUUUAUUGGGUUCGAGAGUCAGAAAGCUAUGGACUUGGCCAUUUAUGAAACCUUCCUUGAGUAUGAAACCACAUUGUAGGCUUGGAUUUGUCAUUUAGAGCCUUUGUAGCCAUGCAUGCACGUAAAGUUUGCAACUUUACGUGAAAUACAUGCCUUAGAAGCUUGGAUCUGUAAUUUGGAGUCACUGCAUGGCUUAAAAAGAGUUUGUAUGGCUUAUGGAUUGAAGGAGCUCAGCAAGUCGCAAGGUCGACUCGGCGAGUCAUAUGAAGAUAGACCUGGACUCGACAAGUUGGAUGAACAACUCGGCGAGUCCGAUGAAGAUUGCCAACGAACUCGACGAGCGGUAUGAACAAAUCGGCGAGUCGGAUGAGUUUUCCCCGAUUUAGGUAUGCAUGUGUAACCGUCGAGUUGCAAGAAGGAAACCUGACGAGUGGCCUUAGAGUUCAAUCGUAAACCAAAGGAACUCGACGAGUCACUCCGUGACUCGGUGAGUGGGCAAGUACUUCAAGGAACUCGGUGAGUAGCCGAGGGUACUCGGCGAGUUAGGGUCAACAUGGACUGUUGACCUUGAUUGAUGACCUUGAUUUUGACCAGGGUUUGAUUAGUGGCGUUUGGGAUACCCUGAAAGGUUGGGAACUUAUGGUUAUAAUUAUAUUAUGGUAAUAGGUGGUGGAGCUUUGUCAGUGAUCCGAGAGUUGGAGUUCAUCUACGGAGUCGAUAUCUGCAAGGUGAGUUAUCCUCACUAUAUCAAUAGGGUCUAAGGCACCAAGGCCGACCCUUUAGUUGUUAUUGUUAUGGGAUGCUACCUACGGUUAUGAUUUGUUAUAUCAGAAUCAGGAUACACAGUAUGUUAUGCUCUUAUGAUCCGUAGGGAUUGUUAUGAUAGUGACCUGCUAGGUCGAUGCUCUAUUUAUGAUAGAUUGCUAUGAUUGAUGAUCAGUGAGAUAGAUAUGUAUGUGUUUAUAUAUUCCAGUACAUGCUAGUUAUGCACACAAGGUUAUUUGAUUGUUGUUUGGGUUGAGGCAGUCCCGCUUUGUGCUGAAGGCCAGCACACCCUAUGAGCGGUCCGGGGAGACUGUAGGCCCACGUGGCGGUUCAAUUAUGCCGAAGGCUCGGGAUAAAUUCAGUUUGAUUGUAGGCCCUGCAGGGCGGUCCAGUCAGGCCGAUGGCCCAGUAUGCAUGUUAUUGAUUGUCUAUUAUUAAUAUGGUAUUAUCGGUGUGGUGUUGGUAUUUUGGGGGUAGCUCACUAAGCCCUUGGGCUUACAGUUUCAGUUUAUUUUUUUAGGUACUUCAGAAGAUCAUGGCAAGACGAAGGCGUGACCGUACCGCUCCUCAUCCUUUUGAUCUAGUUAUUGGGACACUCUGAUGAAUAAUGAUUUGAAAACCUUUUGUAAAUAAAUACUAUUUGGUUUUAUCUAUGAUUGAAAAAGUUUAUAUUUGGCGUAAAAUUUUUGGAUGUUACACGUAAAAUGAUAGUGUUGGUUUUAGGAAAUCCAAUAUUUUCUAUAAAACGAGUUGUAGUCUUAUAUGUUCCAAGACCGAAAUGCAUAGUUAUUUUGCAUACUUAAAAUACUGUAUGUAGUUUUUAUACGUAUAUAAAAACCAUUUAAGUGUUUGUUUGCCCCAUAAACCAAAAUGUGUUGUUAAUACCCAAUGCGAGUUAUUAUAACCAUGCUAGCGACUAGUUGGCCUAUAACGUCACUCUUCAGGCGUCGGAAUGUUAUGAAAUUUGUCACCCCAGACCUGCCGGUCUAACUACAGCUAAUAGCUAAGGUGUGGAAUUAUCAGUCCCGUAUAGAUCUAUACACAAGUAUCAUGCUCUCCCUACAAGAGAUUUUGGUUACAAUUACAGGACUUUAUGCAACACUUUAAAAUGUACUGUGAAGCCGAAUGUUUCACAAAUUUAUUCAUUAAUCGGUUUACGUCAAAUGAAAUAAAAAGCUCAUUGUUCUUGUAAAUGUAUGUAUCUCCCUUUGAUAGUGUUUAUGCAAUGUGAAAAAUAAUUAUAUUUUUAUAUAAUUAUUUCUUUUUUCCCGAAAGGUUAAAAUAACGUGAGUGUUCCAUAAACUAUAUUUAUUAUAUUUUUAACAAUGUAUGUUCCGUCGAAAUGAUAACCUUUGUGUUUUAACAACUUUUGCAUGUAAAGUUUAUAUGUUUGGUAGUAACAUUGUUCCACGUAAUUAACAUUUUCACUUGAAACGUUUAUAAAAUAUAAGAAAACAUAAGUAACUGUUUGCAUUUUAACACAAUUUUUGUUGUGUUUCAUUUGUAUCCCCCCCCCCCUCCUAAAAUAUAGAAAAAGGUGUGAAAAAUGUGGGAGUAUGAACUCACCUCUAGUGUGAUCACGGUCUGAUAAUGAGGUAAAAAUAGUGAUCUUCGAGUCUAGAAUACGUAAAGGAUGUCGUAUCCUAAUGGUUUUAAACACAUAACAAUGUGUGAAUAUAUGAACUAAUGGUUAAAGUGUUGAAUAAUACUUAGGUUUUAUGAGGAAUUCAUACCUUAAAUUCUUAUAAACUAUCUUGGAAGAAAGGCUCCUGGAGAUAAUUGAUCUUGAGUUGGUAUGGAAAAUGGGUUUGAGUAAAGAGAAAUAUGGGACUGAAAUGUUUACUGGUGAAUGAAUUCAUGUGUGUCUAUAUAUANNNNNNNNNNNNNNNNNNNNNNNNNNNNNNNNNNNNNNNNNNNNNNNNNUAUAUAUAUAUAUAUACAUAUGAAAGAAGGAUAAGAUGAGGUAAAUGAGAAAUGAUAGUGAGUUGAUGUUUACAUUGGUAAGUGCACUUAUCACCUUAGGAAGGCAUUUUAACAAAUCAAGUGGCACCACUUGGCCACCUUUAUGGUGAUUUUGGCCAUGCCAUGACCAAAUCACCAUGAUUUCAGUUUUGGUGUGGUCCCAUGGCUUGAGUUUUCUGCCUUAGUGGUCCAUAGGUUAGUGGUUUCGGCCCUAGUGGUCCAAAGCUUUGUGAUUUCGGUCCACACAUAAGAUCUUUGGUCCCUAGAAAACCGAAAUCCCAAUGUGUUUUGAUUCCAAAAACUGAUAUCACUAUGGUGAGGUGUAGUUCAUGCCUUUUGACUUAUUUCUUUAUCUUGUGUUGACUUGUAUUAACUUAUUUCAACAUGGGUUUUCGACAUACACAUAUAUAUAAAAUUAUAUAAGCAUGGUUUAUAUAUAUAUAUAUAUAUAUAUAUAUAUACACACACACACACACACACACAUAGAGGUGGGUUCAAUUGAGAAAAUAAAAAAGGUUGAGAAUGGGGGAAUCAUUCUCAGCCACUCAUUUAAUCUAAGCAUAAAAAGACACAGUGGCAAACUUGUAAAUAUGAUAUAAUAGCCUUCAAUUACAAAUACGUAAGUGUAGAGAAUUAGAUAACAGUUGAAAUUUAUUCUAAUCGAUCAUUAUCAUCCAAAUUUCUCCUCCAACCUUCAACAAUCAUCCAGAUUUCUUCAAUUAAAUCAUCGAUCAACGUCAUCAUGUGUUAAUCAAUCAUCGAUCUUCGUCUAUAACACGGUUAUCAACACCAUUCAACAGUUGACAACAAAAAUUCGUUUUUUGCUCUUUCAAUCCAACCUUCAAUUCUGCUUGAAUACGAGCAUAUCUUCAACAUCUAUGAUUAAUUAUACUUCCAGCAUCAUUAGAUCAACAAAAAAUUCAAUUUGUAUCAUUCAUUCAACAUCGAUCAUCAAAUAAAACAUCAAAAUUAAGGUUAGAAAAAGAUCAAAUCAUUUUUGGUUUGAAAAUUUUCAUAUAUUUCUCUACCAAUCUACUAUUUUGUAAGAUUUAAAUAGUCAAAGUAUCAUAUUUAUCGCAUUUUUAACAAAGUUAACUUGUAUGCACUCCAACUGUUUGAUGAAAUGCAUAAACUAAAUUACCACGUUAUAUUCAUAUAUGAAUAUGUUUUCUCACCUGAAUCAAUAUGUGAUUAUUAAAACACAAAACAAAUAUGCAAGUCUGUAUGUUAUUCAUAUGUGAAUAACAUAUAAAAAUUAUAUAUAUUUCUGAAAACACCUUGUAAUAUUCAUAUAUGAAUAUACUGUGCAAUACUCACAUAUGAAUAUACUAUGCAAUAUUCACAUAUGAAUAUACCAAGUAUUAUUCAUAAGUGAAUAUACGAUCGAAUAUUCACAAAUGAAUAUACUAUGUAUUAUUCUCAUGUGAUAUACCAUGUAAUACUAUAUAAUAUUCACAUAUGAAAAUAUCAUCUAAUAUUCAUAAGUGAAUAUACCAUCUAACAUUCACAAGUGAAUAUACUAUGUAAUAUUCACAAUUGAAUGCAUCGUCUAAUAUUUAAAUAUGAAUAUACUAUGUUUAGUAUAUGUUAUAUUCAUAUAUGAAUGAUACUUAAAUUGUAAAAAAAUUAAUCAUAGUUUUUAUUCAUAAGUGAAUAACGAAUGUACUGUAGUAAAAACCUGAUUCAUUUUUAUUCACUUAUGAAUAACGAUAGCUGAAAAUAUAAAAAAAAAAAAUUUAUUUUAUCUUCAACCUAUAUAAAUAUGAUGUCUAUUUGUAGAGAAUAAAAAAUCGUUAAUUUUGGUAUAUUUAAAAUCAUUUUUCGAUAAAAAUAGCUUCUUAAAAGUUAAAAAAACGAUGUUUUUGUAUAUAUUAAGGUAAUGAUUAACAUAGUUUAAGUAAAUAUGGUUUGUUGGAAAACACAUGUGCAUUCCUUUCCCAUUUCCGCCGGUACGUUGGAGACUUUUGCGACAAAAAUAAAUGAUUGGCUGAGAAUGAGUCCCCCAUUCUCAACCUUUUUUUCUCAAUUGAACCCUCCUUUAUAUACAUAUAAACAUACCCUCGUGGCUAAUGGUGAUUUAAUGUCACAAGGUUACAAUGUUGUUUUCACUUAUACAUAGCACAUCUUUUGACUUGGUUUGGCUCUAAGUUUGCCAGUUGUCACAUCAUCCCCCCAUUAGAGGGAAUUUCGUCCCGAAAUUAGAGUUUUGAGUGGGAGAUCAAGUAUUGGGGAAAAUAUGUGGGUACUCUUAUUUGAUUUUAUCUUCCUUUUCCCAUGUGUAUUCAUGUCCCCGCUUGGCAUUCCAACGGACCUUCACUAUUGGUAUGCGACUAUGUUUCGUUCACUUAACCUCCAUGUCCAUGAUUUCCACCGGUUCUUCUACGAAGUGUAGACUCUCCUUUACUUUGAUUUCAUCGAGUGGGAUUAUAAGAGUCUCAUCGGACAGACACUUUUUCAGACUAGAGAUGAAGAAGGUAGGGUGUACGUUAUUGAGUUCCUGUGGUAGUCGGAGUUUAUAAGCUACCGGACCAAUCCUUGUAAGGAUCUCAAAUGGUCCAAUGUACCUUGAAUUUAGUUUCCCAUGUUUUCGAAAACACACCAUUUCCUUUCCAUGGUGAGACCUUUAACAGAACAUGGUCGCCAACCUGGAAUUCCAAGGGUUUGCUUCGCUUAUCUGCAUAGCUCUUUUGUGGAUCUCGAGAUGCUCUCAGUCUUUCUCAAAUUUGGACGAUCUUGUCUGUUUUUUCCCUUAUGAUCUUAGGGUCGGUGAGAGUGCUGUCAGGAACUUGCCCCCUUGUUAGUUGCGUGUCACCCACUUUAGCCCAACACAGAGGUGAUCUGCACUUGGGCUAUAGAGUGCUUCAAAUGGAGAAAAUCUGAUGCUAGUAUGAUAGCUAUUGUUGUAUAAGAACUCGAUGAGGGGUAAAUGGGUAUCCCAAGCUUUACCAAAGUCUAUCAUGCAAGCUCUCAACAUAUCCUCUAAUGUUUGGAUAGUUCUUUCGCUCUGCCCAUCGGUCUAUGGGUGGUAGGCCGUACUCAUGUCCAACCUAAUUCCCAUGGAUUUUUGUAGUGACUGCCAAAACUAUGAGGUGAAUCUACUAUCCUUGUCAGAGAUAAUGGAUAUUGGCACUCCAUGCAAUCGCAACGAUCUCUUUAAUGUAUGUCCUGGUCAGUUUCUCCAUCUUGUCCAUCUCUUUUAUUGGUAGGAAGUGUGCGUAUUUGGUCAACCUAACGAUGAUCACCCAGAUGAUGUUAAGUCCACCCAUCAUCUUCGGUAACUUGGUUAUGAAUUCCAUGGUUAUUUGUUCCCACUUCCACUUGGGUAUCUCUGGUUGCUGCAGCAAACCUGAGGGCUUCUGAUAUUUUACCAUAACCUUGGCGCAAGUCAGGCACUUUCCCACAUAGGUAAUGAUUUCGGAUUUCAUGCUCAGCUACCAAUAAAGUUUCUUGAGGUCCAGGUACAUCUUGUCUGAAUCGUGGUGAAUGCAGUAUCGAUUCUUGUGAGCCUCGUUCAUGACAACAUCUCUGAAUCCCCCAAACUUCGGUGUACAGAUCCGAUUCAUGAGAUAACGAACUCCAUCACUCUUGACUUCUACAUUUUUAUCCAUCCCACUUAAGGAUUCACCUAUGACAUUUUCUGCUUUCAAGGCUUCCAGCUAAGCCUCUUUGAUCUGCAUGGAUAUGUGUGAAUGGAUAGUCAUGAUUAAUGAUUUUACUCGGCUAUUCCUUUUGGACCAUGGCAUUUGCUACUACACUGGCUUUACCUGGAUGAUAACGAAUCUCACAUUUGAAAUCAUUUAGGAGUUCUACCCAUCUCCUUUGCCUUAUGUUGAGCUCUUUUUGGUUGAGGAUGUGUUGGGGGCUUUUUUGAUCGGUGAAUAUAGUGCAUUUUGUAUCAUAAAGGUAGUGUCUCCAGAUCUUCAGGGUGAACACCACUGCUCCCAGUUUAAAUUCAUGUGUUGUGUAGUUAACCUCGUGAGCCUUUAGCUGCCUCAAGGCAUAGGCAAUGACAUUUCCUCGUUGCAUAAGCACACACCCAAGGCCCUGGUUUGAUGCAUCACAAUAAACCACAAAGUCUUACGUUCCCUCUGGAAGGGAAAAGAUCGGAGCACUGCAUAGAGCGUGUUUCAGUGUUUGGAAGGCAACCUCUUGUUUAUCACCCAGAUGAAUGUCGCUCAUUUCUGAGUCAAGGUGAUGAGUAUUUUAGCGAUCUUCGAGAAGUUUUGUAUGAACCUUCGGUAGUAGCCAGCGAGGCCUAAGAAUUGACAGAUUUCAAUAGGUGUCCUUGGUGCUGCCCAGCUUUCAAUUGCCUUCAUCUUGGACGAGUCCACAUGUAUUACCUCUUUAUUGACCACAUGACUUAAGAAAUCCACCUCUCGGAUCCAAAAUUCACAUUUGGAAAACUUGACAUAUAGCUUUUCCGUCCUCAAUGUCUCCAGGACUUGUCGCAGGUGUUGACUGUGAUCUUCCUUACUUCAUGAAUAGAUUAAUAUUUCAUCGAUGAAUAUUGUCACAAAUUUAUCUAAGUAGCAUCGGCAUACCCGAUUCAUCAGGUCCAUGAACACAGUUGGUACAUUUGUGAAAGAGAGGCGGAUCACCACGAACUCGUAGUGACCAUAGCGGGUUUGAAAUGUUGUUUUUGGAAUAUCUUCCUCCUAGACUCCUAGAUGGUGGUAUACCAACCUCAGAUCCAUUUUUGAGAACCAGCUUGCUCACUGAAGUUGGUCUAACAGGUCGUCAAUUCGGGGUAGGGGAUAUCGGUUCUUGAUGGUAAGUUUAUUCAGCUCCUGCUUCUUAUCUACCACAUCAGCUAGAAACGCGUUGUAUUCCUUGCGUAGGUACUUUUGGGCUUUGACGCAAGAGAUGAUUUGUAGCUUUGCAUCGGGUUUGUCACCACAAAUGACAAGGGUUUCGUUACUUGGAAGAUUGCCUUUUCAUAGCACAUGAUAUUGGCGUGGUAAAGACUUAACCAAUACAUGCCAAUAAUGACAUCAAAGCAUCUUAUAGUGAUUGGCAUUAGAUCGAUUUUGAAGGAAUGUUCAUUUAGUGUUGGGGUGCAUCCUAUCUACAUGUCCUUAGUGCUUUCUAUUUUACCGUUUUCCAUUUCUAUUGCAAAAUUUCAUUGAGUGAUUGUGGUUUUUCAUUGAGUAUAUGUUUAAAUUUGAAGGUUAAACGAGAAAGUCAAAGUUUAAAGUCAAAGGUCAAACAUGAAAGUCAAAGUCAAAAUUUUAGGUCAAAAGUAAAAAAUGAUAGUAAAAAAUUAAAAGUCAAAGCUUUGGGUUGAAAAUGAAACUUUAAAAUUUGAAUAUUAGACUUUUGGGCUAAAAUUGUCAAAAUUACGAAACUGCACCGAAAAUACGAUAUUAGAAUUAAAUCGGGAAGAAAUAUGACAUGAGGUUUGCUAGAUGGAUUGCUAAGGCGUGGGUUGUGUAUACACAUGACCCAGGUUCGAAUCUUGCUACAAACCGGAUUUUUAAUUUAUUCGUUGUUGGCCACGAUGCGAAGGCUGGAUCCAAAGUGCCGAGGAACCCUAAUCCAAGAUUUCGGCUGCUGCCGUGAGGACCGAGGUCUGACCGAAAACGUGAAACCCUAGCCGGAAACGACUUUGAAACCCUAGACGUAAACGAGUUUUUGGCUGCAAACUUUAGCCGUAAAUGAGUUUUCGGCUGCAAACACUAGCUGCAAACGUGUUUCCGGCCGAAAACCGCCGCCAGACCUUUGCAAAUUAUGUCAAAAAAACGCGAUUUUCAACAUUUUUAGCUCCAAAACGCGUCAAAAACUCAUUUUUAUGAAAAACACGAAGAACAACCCCCCAAUACUUUGUAAAAAACUAUCCAAAAACAUAAAAUCCUUCAAGAAAAAGUGCAAAAAUGCUCCAGAUCUUGCUAAAGAGAUUGAUACAAUCCGAGCUUUGAUACCAACUAUAAGUCCUAAAUUUUGCUUGAUGUAUCAAUCAAAUCCACUUGAUGGUGUGGAAUCCCAAUCAAGUGGAUGAUGCAAGAUCAAAUGGAGAAGAAUGAGAAGAAGAUGAUGUGAAUCUAUGAUGUAUUGAUGAUAAGAUUGAUGCUCCAACACAAGAUUCACAUACACGAACUCUUCUUCUCUCUAACUUUCUCUCUCUACAACUUGNCCGCAAACUCAAGACCCAAACCAAGUGCUAGACCAAAAACACAUGGGUUUUCAGUCCAAGCUACAAAUAAACUAAAUAUUAUUUUCGACCCAAAACUAAAAAUAAUAAAUGCUUAGAAAAGCAAAGUAUAAACCAUAUUUUUGACCCAAGAAGGCAACACAGGUGGCAGGACGUACUCAAGGAUUAUAACUGCAAGAUCCUUUACCAUCCGGGUAAAGCAAACGUGGUGGUAGACGCCCUGAGCGAUAAGUCGGCUGGACCUUCUGUUGAGGUGGCGUUUAUGAGGAUACCCAUGGAUUCUCUACUUGUGGGUUUGAUUAGGGAAUCUCAGACUGAGGGUGUCCAAGAGUAGAAUUGAACGAUUGAGAGGAUCAGAUGAGAUCACCAUAUUUGUAUCGGACAGUCAUGGAUUGAUGACCCAUUAUAGACGGGUGUCGGUUCCUGUGUCUGGUGGGGUCAGAGAGAUUGUGUUGGAGUAGGAUCAUAAGUCUCGUUUUUCUAUCCAUCUGGGGGCCUCCAAGAUGUAUCGUGAUCUAAGAUUGAGUUAUUGGUGGCCGUUCAUGAAGAGAGAGAUCUUUUGGUAUAGUGAGAGGUGCUUGACCUGGAGGAUGGUCGUAGCCGAGCAUCAGAGGCCGCAUGCCAAGCUGCAGCCCCUGGAGGUUCCCAUAUGGAAAUGGGAGCAGAUUUCUAUGGAUUUGAUCACCAAGUUGCCGAAGACGACAUGGGGUUUUGGUGCUACUUGGCUCAUCGUGGAUCGAUUGACCAAGAGUGCCCAUUUUUCGGAAAUUCAGGAGAGUUCGUCAACCGAGAAGUUGGCCGAUGUGUACCCACGAGAUCGUUACUCGCCAUGGGGUUCCUGUCUCUAUUGUCUCAGACCGUGAUGUUUAGUUCACCUCCUAUUUUUGGCAGAAGUUACAUGAGGAACUGGGCACGAUGCUGCAUUUUAGCACAUCAUAUCAUCCGCAGACCGACGGCCAGAGUGAGCGGACCAUUCAAACUCUUGAGGAUAUGUUGCAUGCUUGUGUUAUUGAUUUUGGUGGGAGCUGGGAUUCUUACCUACAUCUUGCAGAGUUCUCCUACAACAACAGUUUCCACUCCAGUAUUAGUGCCCCGCCUUUUAAGCUUCUGUAUGGACAGAGAUGUCGUACCCCAGUCUGUUGGGGAAAGGUUGGCCACAAGCUCAUGGAUCGGACCGAGGUGGUUCUGCAGACUAUGAAGAUGAUUCGACAGAUCAGGAAGCGAUUGCAGACUACUCAGAGUCGACAGAAGAGUUCUACCGACCGGCACCGAUCCGAGUUGGAGUUUCAGGUCGGUGACAUGGUGUUAGUGAAGGUCUCACCUUGGGAAGGUGUGAUUUUAUCAGGAAGAGGGGGAAGUUAGGCCCCUGAUUUAUUGGAACAUUCCGGGUUAUUUCCAGGGUUGGCAAGGUUUCUUAUUGGUUGAAUCUCCCAGAGGAGUUGAGUCAGAUCCAUAGCACUUUGCACGUAUCGCAGUUGCGGAAGUAUGUUUUGGACGAGGAUGCAGUGCUAUCAUUGCAUGAUAUUUAGGUGGAUGAGUGCCUGAACUAUGAAAAGAGGCUGGUAGCUAUUCUAGAAAGGAAGGUGAAGAUUCUGCAUAGCAAGGAGAUACCUUUGGUAAAGGUAUAGUGGCAGCAUCGGACGGGAUCCGAGUGGACCUAGGAGCCGGAGGCUGAGAUGCGGGAGUAUUAUCCGAAUUUGUUUACAGUAACAGUCUUCGUGGAGGAAGUAUAGUUCGACGGGGGGAGAUUUGUAACAUCCUUUGAUUCCAGGUAUUUUCAAAUCCUUCCCUCAGUAAUUAAUACAUCAUGUUGGUCUUUAAAUUUGGUGGAAUUUAGCCCUAAGAGGCCUGAGGGGCAAAUUGGUAAUUUUGGUCAGAGGGGGAGUACGCUAGGUGUACAUAUGAGUACGGUAGACAUACUAGGUCGCGCCCUAUUACGCAGGUCAUACAUAUAUUUACGCAGGGCAUACUUAUGUCCGAGUGCAACCCUAACUUUUAGAGUUUGUUGGGUAUUUAAACCCCAUUAUGGACCCUUUACCCCCAUCCUUUCAGCCUCCAAGUCCUGAGAUCAUUUUUGGCAAACCCUAGCUUCUCUUUGGUGUGUGCGUGAGAGCUAAGAGUGUGUUUCUUUUGUGGUUGAAGAAGAAUAAGUUGCAUCAAGGUGUUUGGAGAGCGAAGUAAGCUUGUAGAUCUGGGAUCAUCUUGUCAUUUAGAAGCUCCAAAAGGUAAAAAGCUUAUGCCUUUGUGAUUAUAUUGUUUAGAUCUUGUUUUGAUAGCUUUUUGGAGCUCUUCUUGUCCCAAAAGUCCCAAAGUUGUCCAUGAUUUGUGUCAAACGUUUUGAGCUGUCCUUUCAGAUCCUAAGAAGGGCUCUAAGUUAUAAAAAUGAGUUCCUUUGGCUAUUUUGGCUUCAUGUUGCUUAUCGGAGGUCUUAAUGGAUUAAGACCAUGUAUUAAGGACUUUUUAGACGUCCAAAUUCUUAAAGUUUGAGACUUUGUGGUUCUGAGAUACAUUUAGUCGUUGGAUCUGGAAAUUGGGCUUAAUUGCUUAAUCCGUUAAGCACUUAUUAGAGUUUUGAACUCUACGAGGGUACACUCCGCUUACAGGAGAGUGUACGUAGUCAACGCCCCCGUUUGCAAUCAAUGUGAGGCUCGCAUAUGCCCUGUGUAGCCUCAGUAUACGCCCAACGUACAUCUUUUGAUGGGCCUUUGCGAGUUGAGCUGCGGUUUUGGGCCAUCUUUGGGCCAGCACGUCUUGGGCCCUUGUUGGACUUUCUGAGUUUGAGUGUUGGGCCAGUUAGAAAUUUGGACCUUAGGAUAAGUUCGAAUAAAGAGUUGGGCCUAAUUUGGAAAAUUAGGCCAAUUAUGGGGCUUGCAUAUUUUGGACCUUUUGGAUCAAGGUUGGACAUGGGUUUGACCUAGUUAAUGAAGUGUUAAUGGAUAAUUAUGAGUUAAGGAAUUUGAGGUGAUAAUCCAAUUAUUAAUUAGAGGUUUAUUUAUUAUGAUUGUUCGAGAUUUUCAUGGGCUAGUGGUCGGGGGUUCUGUUUAAUACAUUAGUGAGGUGAGUUCUCCUCACUAUACUAACAUGGUCGAAGGCACCAAGGCCAACCCUUUGGAUUGUAUCCUAGUUUAUCAUAUGAUGCUAUGUGUAGUGAUCUGUUAGAUCUAUGUCCUAGCAUAUAGGAUAAUGCUAUGAUUGAUGAUUGGUUAGGCUUGUAUGAUUAUUGUAUGUGCUAGCUAUCGUUUGAUAUUUAUGUAAUGUUGUGUGAUGACGGGUGGUUUGAGGCGGUCCUAUUGUGUGCGGAAGGCUAACAGUCCCAGGGUAACCCGGAUAGACUGAAGGUCUAGUGGGGCGUACCAGUCAAGCCGAAGGCCCUGAGAACGGUCCUGAUAGGCUGAAGACCCGGUGAGGUGGUCCAGUCAUGCUGAAGGUCUUGUGAGCUGUCCAGAUAGGCUGAAGGCCUGGUGCGGUGGUCCAGUUAGGCUGAAGCUCUAUAUGCAUACUGUUUGUUAAUGAUAUUAUUCUGGUUUGUAUUGUGUUGGUAUUUUGGGGGAACUCACUAAGCUUUGGUCUUUCGGUUUUGUAUUUAUUUUUCAGGUACCUCUAAUGAUCACGAAAAGGAAAAGGCUUGAUCGUGCACCUCCUCACAUGUUGUGUUAUGAUUUUUAGGACUUCUAUGAAGUUAAACUAUUUUGAAAACAAUUUGUAAUAACUGGUCAUUUUUGGUAUUUUGAAAAGUUAAGAAAUUUUAUGAAUUUUAAGGGUGUUACAAUUUUUAAUAGGGAAAUAAACUAAAACUAAUAAAAAAGUAUAUAAAAUUAAAGUACAAAAUAUUAAAAAUAUACAAACUAACUAAAGACAUACAAAUUUGUUUUGGUACAAGAUUUGAUGCACAACAUACAAAUAAAUCAUAACAUGAUGAGAGAGAGAGAGAGAGAGUCUACAGAGAUACAUUUUCAGCGGGUUGGGUAACCCGCUAAAUCCUCUAAACAAGUGGCACCACGGGGGAAGGAUCCCUCAUCUUUGAGGUAUCCUCGGUAUCUCCUACCCAAACCAAAAUAAUACGACACUCUAUCCUCCCUUAGAGUUUUGAAAGCGACUAAAAAUAAAUUACAACAAACCAUGUUAAACAUCAAGCUCAAAAAAAUGUCCACCUAUAACAAAUUACACCUAAAAUCUAAAAGUCCAAAAACAAACAUUGUGGAAACAGACCCUAAAGCUUGUAAUACAUUAUUGAUGGGCGACAAGGUAGCUGUGUGAAGAAGGUAACAGAGGAGAAUUGGUGAAGGUUGGAGUUGUAGAGUAUGCCAAAGAAAGGGAGCAGAUAAAAUGAGCAACAGGCAUUUUAUCAAUUCAAAAAUGAAAAUAUACAUCGAAGUAGGGUUGCAAUUUAGGAUAUCAAAAAGUUAUAAGUAUAUUGGUGUGUGGGUGGGGGGUUGUAGAUUGGGUAGAGCAGAAAUAUAAAUUUAGGCUAGCCAGAUUGAAAAUUUGGGCAGUGGGAAUGAAAUUAAAAUAUAAGAGGUUAUUAUUGAAACCACUCAAAAUAACGUGUGUGUGUUUAUGUAUUUAUAUUCAAGAUAGCAACAGAUUAUACAAGAUACACUCCUAUAGAAAAGGAGUUGAUAAAUACAAUAAUAUAAUCCUUAAUUAUCUAAUAACCCCCUCAAGCAAAAGGGUGGUGGACCGAGACGAAGGAUAGAACGAAAUUGUUCAAAUUGAGGUCGUAGAAGACUCUUGGUGCAAAUGUCAGCCACCUGAAGCUUGGGUGGGAUGAACUUGGUAUAGAGUUUACUAGAGGAAACAAGUUCACAGACAAAAUAAUAAACGAGAUCAAUAUGUUUUGCACGCUUGUUUGGACUGGAUUUUGUGUCAUAAAUAAAGCACUUUUGUUAUCACAUAGCAAAGUUGGUCUAUCAGGUGGCAAAAUGUGUAAUUCCCGUAAGAGAUGAGUGAUCCAAACAAUAUUGGUUGUCGUGUUAGCCAUCGCUCGAUAUUCGGAUUCACAACUAGAUCUAGAUACAGUUGUGUAACACAGGAAUUUUCAAACCAAUUUUUCCAUUUUUAAUUUCAUAAAACACAUGUCAUUUUAAAUAAACACCAUUUAAUAGUCAACAAAGUUUUCAAAACAUUAUCAAAAUCCAGGAUCCUCAUUCAUGACUCUUUUCUCUUACUUGUACAAUCGAGUCGCAGCAUUCCCGCGAUCCUAAUAAGAACCUAAAACACAUAACACAUAACACGGUAAGCACGAAGCUUAGUGAAUUUCCCGAAAAUACCACGCACAAGUAAUUAGCCACUCGAGGCUAUAACUCGGUAAGACCCUCCGGUAAAUGUGUCUCAGUGGAACCCUCCAGUCCCACAGCUCGUUGGACCCACUGGUCCAGUCUAGGUGAGAACCCUCCGGUCUCACUGUUUGUUAGACCCUCCAGUCCGGUCUAAGUGAGGACCCUCCGGUCUCAUAAUUCGUUGGACCCUCCGGUCCUGUCUAAAUAUCACAUAAUAUAACACACAACACAUAUCACAUAGAAAAUGUACAACUCAAGCAAGCACAUACGACCCUCUGGUCACACAUAACUACCACUCUUGGUAAAGUAUAGUGAGAAGACUCGCCUCGGUUGACAAACAACCCCUAUAACGCUAUUUCGACACACCGGCCACUAACUCUGUGCCAAACUCACAAUUAUCUCAAUUAGAACUAAGUCCAAACUCUCACUCAUUGGGUCUAGAGGUUGAUCAAUAACCGACUCAUCACUGCCCUAAACUCAUUGGGCCCACCAAGGCCCAAUAAUAAAUGGGCCCUCUCAAGGCCCAAUUCUCAAACUAAAUGGCAGGGCCUACAUUAGAUAAACCCCCCAAGACCACUAAAGGCCCACUUUGCUAAACUGGGCCUACUCCCUCCAAUGGGCCUCACCCUAAGCCUAAAUAUAUACUUGGCCCAUAACUUCAUACUAUUGAUAGCCCAAUAGCUCAAGGCAUGGCCCAUAGGAUGGCCCAAAAUACAAAGUAUAACACAGACAAGUUAUGCGGGCGUACACCUGUGAACGCCAAGUGUACCGACUCGCUGGAAAGUACGCUGGGCGUACCUACACGUAUGCUCAGCAUAACCUUCCUGAUAAGCCCUUUUUCCAUUAAGUGCUUAUUAGUUCAUUCCAGAGGCUACAAACUCAGAUCCAGGUCCUUAUCAUCCUCUUAAUCCUUAAAGUCAUAAUCUUGGUGACUUGCAAUCCACCAAAUAAGCUCAAACUCAAAAGGCAACAACAUACUUCCAUAACAAGAGCUAGAUAUCAUGCAUGAACUCAUUAGGACCACCAAGAUUGAAACUUUACUGUUUAAGGGACCCUUUUAGCUCUGAGGGUGGCAACCCUAAGCUCAAAAAUGAGAUUCCAACAUAAUUAAAGGUCCAAACUUGGGACCAAAACAACUCCAAAACUUCACUACACAAGAUCUGUGCAUUCUUAAAUAAAGUUAUGAACUUUAUACCUCAAAAGAGUUCCAAAUGAUGAUGUUAUUCCAGAUCCAUGAGCUCCAAACUCCCAAGUUCUUCCUGGCCAACUUCCUCUUUUGCAAAUCCCAAGCUUACACCACCAAAUGAAUCUCUUGAAGACCAAAUCUCCCAAAAGGAAGAAGAUAUAAGGCGUUCAAGAGCUUCUCUGAGGUUGGGGAACAAACAUGGAGGCUAGGGUUUGAACCAUAAUGUUCUAUAUAUAGUGGCACACCCUACAUUUAGGGUUUAUGGACUCUGGACGUACGCUGGGCAUACGCCAAGGAGCACCCGCGACCAUUUCUCUUAUACGUUGGGCGUAAUCAUCCUUACGUUGGGCGUACCCACGCGCUUCCAUUUCACAUGCACGGCCUUUCAUGCCAACCUUUCACCUUAAGGGACCAUUUAUGUCGAAAACCUCCAAGUGUAAUAUCUUCCUCACCUGAUGUUCGUUUUCGGUGAACUUUAUAUCCACGAAAAGGUAACGAGAAGCUCUACACUUCUAUUAACUUUAUAUAUCCUAGAGCCCACUCAAGCUCAGAUCCAAAAUUUAUGAAAAGCCCAAACCAACACUUGUCGAUACCCUUAGGACCUAAAGCACAAACCGAACCAUUUUCUCACACAAUACACCUUAUCCAUAUCCAAGAAGGCCUAAACAUUUCUCCUUCAAAAUCUCGAAACCUUCUCAUAUUCAGGUUACGGCCCACGAGCCUUAAAUCACAAAACAAUCUGGAACAGGAUGUUACAAUUCUCCCUCAUUUAAAUUAGAUUUCGCCCUCGAAAUUGAUCCUUUUCUUCGCAUAGAUCGAAAAAAAUAACCCGAGAUGCUCAACCAGAAAAUCUAAUUAACAUUCAACGAUCCUUCUCCCAAGACAUCCGAAACCAAAUAAAAAUUUCCGAAGCCGAAGAAGGACAGACCCCUUUUUCCGUGAAGAUACCUGCUCUGACUCUCCAAAACUGGAAACUAUAGUGGUCUAUCUCCCCGGCAUACCGCCCAUGCCGAAUAUCACCCUGAUAAUCGCUCAUCGAACAACAGACAUGGAUAAAAUACUCCCAACUCAGAGUACCAGGUCAGCUCCUGACCCAACGGUUGAACCUCCAAGAGCUACGCCUUUCACACCCAAUAAAAUGACUUUACAACCCUCCUGCUCAUAAUAACUAUCUCAGCUCAUUACGACACAUAAGUCAUAUAGUUUGCUUUACCCCAAGCCGGACACUACAACCCAUCAGAAAUCGAUCCACUCCGAUCUAAGAUAUCAGAUGAAGAUCAACACCCUUCUACAUGGAUCCCAUCUCUGAAUCCAGAAUCUCAUUUUCCCUACCCAACGCACCACCGGAACCAACUCAAACUUGGGAGUCAGGUCCGACACAGAAUUGGAACCACUCGUCCUAAUGAACCACUCAACUCAUGACUCAUGACUCGUAACUCAUGCGUACACCACUUCUUCUAUUCCCUUUGAUCGUGACAACCAUAAUUCACCCAGAAUAUAACAAUUAAUGACAAAAUGGAGACCCCAGUCUCGCCCCUGGUUCGACCAUCAGGCUCUCAAAAACUCAAAUAUUAGGGCUCCCCAAGCCCAAAAAUCUUCCGCGUCAUGAUCUGAAUAGAGAGUACUCCAUCACAACACUCUCUCGCUGACUAGUGAGUACUACGUCUCUCCGCAGCAUCACAACAACCUGUCACUGAUUAGUGAGUACUACUGCUCUCCGCAGCAUCACAACAAUCUCUCACUAAUUAGUGAGUACUACGCCCCCCGCAGCAUCACAACACCCUCUCACUGACUAGUGAGUACUACGGAUCCCUGCAGCAUCACAACAACCUUUCACUGACUAGUGAGUACUACGACUCCCCGCAGCAUCACAACAACCUCUCACUGACUAGUGAGUACUAUGGCUCCCUGCAGCAUCAAAACAACCUUUUCACUAACUCACUAAAACUGCAGCUCUCCGUAGUCUUACUGCACUUGCUCUUAUCAAUUCACGAUCUCAUCCUCAGGUCAACGCAACACGGCAAUCAUUAAAUCAUAUCCUGCGGACCAACCAAAGAUGGUGUACACACUCACCGAAUUUAUGCAUCACUAUUUCUGACGACAUCCAUCUUAACAAAACACCUUUCCUACUGCAGUCCACAUUCACAAAUAAUCUCGUUUGAUGCCAAUUGGCCGAAGGGAUCCUACCGGAACCGUAAAUAAUUGAUACCCUACUUGCCAUUUCAAACUAAAACUCAAAAUAAUCUGAGAUUUAGGACAUUAUACUCGAAUACCCCGGUGCACCAUCACCGCACCUCGCAAUGUCUCGACUCUACCACUGAUCUCAUACUCGUGGCAUCAUACUCAGAUACUGUAUUGCUUCCUUGAACUCUCGCAACCGAUCCUCCUUUCGUGCUACUUGCAACCCGGAAUACUCCAUUUCCAAUUUGAAACACGGAGAAAUCGCCAACGACUCAGAAUACGAAGUUGGCCCUUUCCAAAGAGCAUAAAAUAAUCCAUUCAUCGAACUAAAAUUUCUCAACUACCGAAGGAUUCUCACAAGCCAACCACUCCGAAUUCACCAUUACAGCCAAAAAAAAUUUCUUACCUACCACAAGGCCUCUGACCAACGACCACCUACCGUGCAGACACUCAUCCUUUCUUAAACACGUACAACAUGCAUUAACUCAUUCUGCAACUCACCUCGACCACCAAUAACCCUGGUCUCAUGAAUUCAUAGUGCAUGUCUCUAUAUCCAUCUCCCUAACCGUUCUUGAGCAAGUCUCUGAUCCUCUCAAUUAAAAUACCCGGUUCUCCCCCACUUAGGGUUCGAACCGUCACCAGUUGGCGCAUAUAUAAUCUAUUCCACAGACUUUUUCCACCGGAACAUAACACUUACUCUUGGAAGGUACUACUCAAUGCUCGAUGGUAUCCCUGAUAGAGACCCCGCAAAUCCAUGCAUCUCGAAUUUCAGAUGAUAUCCUCAUAAACUCCUCAUUAUGAUUGCCUCUAAUCAUACAGAAUCUCACUCCAUCCCAUUACCAGACAUCUCAACUGUCUAGUAGUAACCCUGACUCAUAAUCUGACAAUGAUGACCUAUCAUACCCCAUAUCCUCGACUCCUCAACCAAUGUUCCAUCACACAAGUUAUCAUAAGAGAGGAGUCCUCAUUACCACACUUGAUACCCAUCAUAGACAAUAAGAGCCACCACCCCAAUAUAGUCCUCUUGAUCGCCUAACGUUGUAGCUGGCACAUGCGCUACUAUACUCAAAUAGAGUGCACCCUAGUCCUUGACUAUCUCAGUCACCAUUGACAACCUGUUCAUGCUAUAUCAUUGCCUUACGGCAGACAUACUGCCCAAAAACUUCGGGGGAAGAUCACCAUCAAUGCUAAACCGCAAGGUUUACUCCCAAGCUCAAAACCGAAAUCUCAACACCUCUUAUGUUUCCCACAGGAAAUAGAAAUAGCACCACUCAGGUUACCGAAAGUGACAUCUCCCUUAUCGAUUGAUUGCCCAACUCAGGUCGCAAUCCUCCAUAAACACCAUCUCUACCCAUCCUUGAGUCUUGCAACUCAUCUGACAUACCUUGGAAUUAUCUCAACUUACCUCACAAGGGAUGCUUCGUUGGAACUCGUUCCACAUGACCCCUCUGACCUCAUACACUAUCGCACCCGAUCUCGGUAUAACCAAACACAACGGAAUAACUGGUAGAACCAGUAACACUAACCACCACAGUCAUGGUACUCGAACCACAUGGCCACCUCUCGAUUUGCUAUAAACCAUGAUGCCCGAACCAUGUUAUCUCUUUUGACUCCACUACAAAGCAUGGUACUCGAACCAUGGCUUCACCAAUCAAGCUGCUACUUAAUAUGGUACUCAAACCAUGACAUCACCUCUCAAUCUGCUACUAAUCAUGGUACUCGAACCAUGACAUUCUUCUCAAUCUGCCACCAAUCAUGGUACUCGAACAAUGACUUCACCUCCUAGCCUGCUACUUAGAAUCUCCAGAAUACUCCCUGCAUCAAGUAUUGGUCCUCUGCUUUCAGUAGUACAAACCCAUACUACCUGCCACAUCUACCCAUACUUUCUACACGGACCAUCCCAAAUUUCCUAAGUAGUUGCUCAACCUUCUCGUACGUCCAUCGCAUUACAUGUGUUCGCUCCCUAGCGAAAUGCUCUACCAUGUCAGUGCAUUCAUCUAGCCACAGUCACCCCCUAGGCUCUUCCUAGGUGCUCACACUUCUCCGCCAUUAGCUGCUGAGGAACUCCUAAUGAUGCCAACCGUCUACCUCCUGAAUAUCGUCAUAUUCACUUAGUAGUUGACUCCCAUCACUGAGAGUUCCAUAAAGCACGAAGCAAGCAUCAUUCGGGCAUUGAAUAAUCUCUGUAAUGUCCUAAAAUGGAUCUUUACCAAUGAUCAAGCAAUCACAUAAUCACAGAAACAAGAAUAUGAGUAGAAUAAGAAUUGAAACCAGCUUGCAUACGUUUAUUACUUGAAAAACGUCAGACACAACUUGUUAAACUUGGUCGUGAACUGUCUAGCAUCAACAACCAAUAAUGACCUACACAAACCCUAUAUAUAAUAGACAAUGACCAUAAACUGAACUUGGGCCAGAAACUGGGUUUACAGCCGUAAACUAGUUUACGACCGUAAACUCUCCAUUGACCGUGAACCCAACUUUGACCUACUAUUACACCAAAAAUGCUCAAAAGAACUAUUACAAUUAAAAGCCUAGACCAACCCAUUAAUUGAGCCCUUCAAUCUCCCCCUUGGUUUGGGGCUAGCUUGUAUUGAAUCUUUGUCGACCACUAGCACAUCUGACUUCCCCAUUGCUCCGUUCCACAUCCGCUUGUUUAUAAUAUCUGUAACCAUCAACGUAUACUCUUUAGCAGCCUGCUCAAUAAUUUCCUCGGAAACUUUAAUUUUAUGAAGACUCAGUUGAUGGAUAUCCCAUUUCCCGAAAUGGAACAGAUUUCUCCGGUCAUAUAGAUGAAUGCAUCCAUCUUUGAGCUUCAUAACCGCGGAGGCUGUUGUCUCGUCAAAUACCCAAUAAAGCAUGGAGCUUAAAGAUCCAUCUGGAUAGUUUUAAAGUACUGGGAUUUGCUUAGCCUGACUAGUAGCAGGCCACGUCACAACUUGAAGUGGACAACCAGUCUUGGGAUCAAUCACAUCAGGAUAAUGCUUGAUAAUAGACUCUGCAGUCUUCAUCACCUGAAAGCCUUUCUUCACUUGGUCUUCCAAGAAGAGCUUGAAGUGAGUUGCCUUUGGAUCUUGUGAGGGAUUUGCAAAAGGAAGUUGAGAUAACUCUGAAAGAUCCACCCUAGUCCAUGAAUGGAAGUCAUGACAGUCUUUGUACAAUUCAGUGUUGUCACUCUUUCUUCUCACAAUCCACAUAUUCAACGUGUCAUGAAAUCCCCAAGAAAUGAUUCCGGACCUAUCACCAUAUGUAUCUCUAAAACGUCUUUCUUUGAGAUCAGUAACAGUGAUUUUUGGUUGAUCUCCAGGUGCAUUUUGAUCCGAGCUCUUCUUAAACAAAAGUUUUCCCUUCUCGGCAGAUUUAGCAAGUCUAGCACAUUUAAGAGCAACGACGUAAGGAGCUUGAACAGGCUCUACCUCAAAACGAUCUACAAUGCAGGAUGAGUGAGCAGAUGGUGGUACAGCUGCAGGAUCUUGAGAUGGAAGAAACAUAUUCGAUUCAUCAAUAGAGGGCUUAAACUUGUCACCAAGUUCUUUUGUCAAUUUCUUCUUUAGGUCGAAAUAACAAGCUGUGAGGAGACCAAAGUGAGUCUGAAGAUUUGAGAUUUGCUUGGUCUUUAACACCUUAUCUUCUACAAGAUCAAACACUUGAGUCUUGAGCAUGAUAUUUUCACUCAUAAGAUCAACCACCUUGAUGUCAAGCUCAAUGUUCUUUUGAUUUAGCACAAAUAUUUCCUUUCGGAGCUCAACGAUAGAAGGAUUGUCUUCUCCUGUGAUACCUUCCCUAAAAGAAAUUCCUUUGGCUCUGGGGGGAAGGCAUUUUAUCUUGUUCAUGGGCCAAAUGCAAGGCUAGCCUUACGAAGGCGGCAUCAAGAUCUGGUCGUGAAGGAGAGAAUCUUGUUGGAGCAGAAGGUCCGCCUGCUUCAUACGAGGUGUUGGGCCUUCACUGAAAGGUUCUGUUGAGACAAUAGCAGGAGUUGUGGUUGGAGGAAUUUGGAGGUCUUGAAGUAAACCAGAGUCAAGAAUUCCCUGCCUGGGAUCACGUCUUCUUCUUUUCAGAGGAGGUUGAGAGGUUGGAGUUGUUGUAUGAUCACUCUGAAGUGGUUCUGUAGUACGAGAUACAAUGUCAAGGGAAGGAUUCCCUGACACCGUCACCAUAGGAGUUGUUGUUUCAACCACUUGUUUAGUAGUAGGAGGCGUUGAUUCGAGAACAUCAUUGGAGUCUCGUAUAUCCGUUGUUGGGUGAGCAACAUCAUCGAUAUUGUCAAGCAGCGAGUUGAGAUUUUCAGUUGACAAGUAAUCUUCAUUGCUUCCAAAAUUCACCGGAAUUUCAUCUCUAUCAAAACCAGUGAGAUCAAGAUCUUCAUAUAAGUCAGUUUCAGUUGCACUCUUUAAAGACCCUUCAUUAUAAUCACUUUGCACAGGAACUGAUGUCAGAUCAUGUUCCUUAGCCACAGCUGCAAUGGGAACUGCUGUAUCUUCUUCUACUUCGUCAUGUUCUGACACCGUGAUCACCUCAUCUUCUGAAAUCAUCUUUUCUGAAGAAGCGGGCUCAGAGGAUAUUUUAUCAGACAAUCCAUGAGACUCAGAGCUCUCGUUUAGUUCAACAAAUUUUCCAAACUUCACAAGCGGAUGCAAUCCUUCAAAGAUGAUUUUACCCUUGCGAUUUUGCUUUAUGAGUCCAACAGUAUGAGGACCUAGUGACUUCAUAUCUAGGGUUUCACCCUCCUUGACCAUCUCAGGGAAUUGAGUGUUGAUAAACAUUUGGAUGAACCUCAGAUACAUCAAGAAAGUGUCUCGGGUUGUUGCAUUGAUGUUCACUAGGAUUCAAACCAUAAUGUUCCAUGUAUAGUGACACACCCUACAUUUAGGGUUUUUGGACUCUGGAAGUACACUGGGCAAACACCAAGGAGCACCCGUGACCAUUUCUCUUAUAUGUUGGGCGUACCCACGCGCUUCCAUUUCACAUGCACGGCCUUUCAUGCCAACUUUUCUCCGUAAGGGACCAUAUAUGUCAAAAACCUCCAAGUGUCAUAUCUUCCUCACCUGAUGUCCGUUUUCGGCGAACUUUAUAUCCACGAAAAGGUAACGAGAAGCUCUACACUUCUAUCAACUUUAUAUAUCUUAAAGCCCACUCGAGCUCAGAUCCAAAAUUUAUGAAAAGCCCAAACCAACACUUUGUCGAUACCCUUGGGUCCUAAAGCACAAACUGAACCCUUUUCUCACACAAUACUCCCUAUCCAUAUCCAAGAAGACCAAAACAUUUCUCUUUCAAAAUCUCGAAACCUUCUCAUAUUCAGGUUACGGCCCAUGAGCCUUAAAUCACAAAACAAUCAGGAGCAGGAUGUUACAAGUUGGUUGCUUCUUAGCACUCCAAGCAACUAAAUUGCCACCAAGAAAGAUUGAAUAACCAUAUGUGGAGCGACGUGUUUCAAUGCAACGAGCCAAAUCGGCAUCAUAAUAAACAAAAUGGUGUUUGUAUGUGGCCAAAAAAAAGUAAGACCAAACGUAAUAGUGCCUUUGACAUGUCGCAAGAUGCGUUUAACAGCUUGAAAAUGAUCAUUAGUUGUAGAAUGAAGAAACUGCCUGGAUUGAUUAACAACAUAAGAAAGAUCAGGUUGUGUGAUGGUCAAAUAUUGAAGAGCUCCUACUAAAUAACGAUAAAGAGUGAUAUCUUUGAAAGGAUAUAUGUUUGACGUGAAGACUUCAUGAGUUGCAAGUGGAGUAGACACAGGUUUAGAAUCUAAGAGAUCACUGUGAGCAAGGAUGUUUGUGGCAUAUUUGGAUUGACUUAAAAAGAGCCCAUGUGUAGCUGACUUCUAGACCAAGAAAAUAGCUUAAAUCACCUAAGUCUUUAAUUGCAAAUUCUUGAUGAAGACGAGUGGUGAAGGCAGUGAGAACAUAUUCAUUGUUUCCAGUAAGAAUCAAGUCAUCCACAUACAUGAGUAAGUACAUGAUGCAUGCAUUCUGAGCAUAGAUAAACAAAGAUGGAUCAGCACGACUGCAAAGAAAUCCAUUUGAAUGUAGAAAUGUACUUAAACGAUGAAACCAAGAUCUGGGAGCUUGCUUUAGGCCAUAUAAGGCUUUAGAGAGUUUGCAAACAUGAUUGGGGAGGAUCAACAAAACCAUGUGGUUGCUCCAUAAAUACAGUUUCAUUUAGACAUCCAUGUAAGAAGGCGUUCUUGACAUCAAGUUGAUGUAAGCGCCAUUUAUGAAAUACUGAAAGAGUGAGAACUAUACGAACCAUGGAGGCUUUAACAACUGGACUAAAGGUGUGAGAAUAAUCGAUCCCGGGAAUUUGAGUGAGCCCUUGAGCAACUAAGCGAGCUUUGAGUCGUUCUACGGAUCCAUCUGAUUUGUAUUUAAUGCGGUACACCCAUUUAGAUCCAACAACAUUGGAAGCAGGUGGAGGUGGAACUAAAGUCCAUGUAUUAUUUUGCUUCAAGGCAUCCAUUUCUUCAUGCAUGGCAGCCAUCCAUGGAGGAUUUUUAGCUACUGAUUUAAAUCCUUUGGGUAGCAAGGAAGAAAGAAGUGCAACAUGUAAAGAAUGAGUGGUGAAGUAGGUAAAAUCAGGAAGAUAUCAUGCUUUACUAAUUCCUAAUUUAGACCAAGUGUGCAUAGGAUGAGAACUCGAUGAUCCAAGGGUAGGAGGCUCGUGGGUAAUUGGAGGUGAAAAAGGAGCAUCAGUUUGAACUUGGGCUGGUGUAGACACAACUAUGGUUGAGUCAAUAUCAGGUCUAUAUAAUCCACAAGGAGGAGAUGAAACAUACUCAGCGGGUUGUGGACUUGGCCGAGAAGUUGAUGAAUCAGACCUGGUCGCGUCAACAAGAGUUUCUUGCAGUAAAUCGGGAAUGCCAUCGUUAACACAGGCGUAUAAAGUCCAGCUUGAAAAAUGUUGAGAAUUUGUGGAACCCAUAAAUGGAAGAGAGGUUUCAUCAAACCUUUCGUGUCGAGUGAUGUAGAUUCUAGAGGAUGAUGGAUCAAGACACUUGAAUCCUUUAUAUUGUGAGUGAUAACCAAGAAAAAUGCAUGGAAUACUUCUUGGAGCGAGCUUGUUUGCUUAAUAAUCUCUUAGAUAAGGAUACACUCGACAUCCAAAAGUGUGAAAGUUUUCAUAAGAUGGCAUUCGAUUAUAGAGGAGCUGGAAUGGUGACUUUUGUGAGAGAACUUUGGUAGGCAAUCGAUUUUUGAAGAACAUUGUUGAAAUAAGAGCAUCUACCCAAUAAGAUGAAGGUGCGUGAGCAUGAAAUAACAUAGUAAAUCCUAUUUCAACAAUGUGAUGGUGCUUUUGUUCAGCACGUUCAUUUUGUUGAGGGGUGUAAGGACAAGAUAAUCAGUGAAAAGUGCCAUUUUCUUUAAGUAUUGUUCGAACUGUGUUGUUAACAAAUUCAGUGCCACCAUCACUUUGAAAAACUUUGAUUUUUCUAGAAAAUUGAGUUUACACAAGUUUGAUGAAGGCUGUUAAUACCGAGUAGAAACCUGAUUUGGUUUUCAAGGGGUAAAACCAUGUGAAACGUGAGUAAUCAUCAACGAAAACUACAUAAUAUAGAUAGCCAUUUGAGGAAACAGGUGUUGGUCCCCACAAGUCACUAUGAAUUAAAUCUAAAGGAAAUAGAGAGCGUUUAGAAUUUAAUUCAAAUGGUAAUUGGUGUCCCGUAGAAAGCUGACAAGGUUUGCAAAUGUUUGGUUUAGGUAAAACUGGAGUAACAUGUAAAACACCUAAUUUGUUCAAAAAAGAAAUAACAUCAAAGGAAACAUGUCCAAGGCGAUUAUGUCAUAAUUCAAAAGAAGCCUUCUUAGAAACACUAGAAACUGUAGCCAAAGCGGUUUGACAAUCACGAAGCACAUAGAGUCCCUCUUCACAUGUUCCUUGAGCUAUCACCUGCUUGUUUGCCCUGUCCUGAAUAUGAAAAAAAUGGUUGAGAGAGGAGAACAUCAACCGGAUGAUCCAUGGUGAGUUUACUAAUAGACAAGAGAUUUUUAGUGAGCUUGGGAAUAACCAAUACAUCACGUAAUUCGAGUUUAUUAGAAAGAUUAGAACGACCCAUAUGAGAAAUAGAGAGUUUAGCACCAUUACCAACAGUGACAUGCAUAGUACCCGAAUAAGGAGUCGAAGAAGAAACAAUUUCUGAUGAAGGUGUCAUAUGAGUUGUGGCACCGGACUCAACAUACCAGUCCGGGUUUCCUUGAGUAACAUGGCACUGUGAGUGGAAGGCUUGUGCAAGAUUGGCAUCCGAGUUUGAAGCAUUUGAAGCAUACGUAUGUAGAUUGGGACAUGAGGAUGCGUAGUGACCAUUUGUACGACACAGUUGACAAUGGGGGGACGCCUACCCCCACGGCCCCUACCACCAUUAGAAGAAGCACGAGAACCUCCUCCUCUUGAGUAGGAUUGCUGACGGCCUCGAGAUGUAGUAGAACAGGACUAUUGAGAGAUAAAAGCAACAAGAGGAGUGGAACCAAUUUACAUUAAAUAUCAAAGAGGACCUAAUUUACAUUAAAUGGAACCCAGAUUUCUUUGAAAAGUGGAAUGGUUAUAUAACAAUUUAAACUUUAAAGAUUUGCAGACAUGAUAACGUAAAGGUGAUGUUAAAGUAUUGUAUUGUAUAACUCUAUAAAACAUAAAUUCAUAAACAACAAAUUUUUUCCAUGCACAAUAAUUUAUGCAUUAAAGCAGUAUAUUGCACAACUCUAUAAAACAUAAAUUAUUGUCUAUAGAGAAAAAUUGUUGUCUACGAAUUACUUUCCUAUCGUAAAAUUCCAUGGAAUCGUAAUUAAAUAGACAUGCUUUUUAAGUGACAAGUUUUUACAUUUAAUUAUGGCUUUUGAGUUCAGUCCUUUUACGGAUAGUUUAGUCUCGAGUUCUGCAUUUAUUCUUGAUUAUUUUUUAUCUUCAAUAAAUAAAUAAAUAAAUAUAUAUAUAUAUAUAUGUGUGUGUGUGUGUGUGUGUNNNNNNNNCACUACAUGAAUAAUAAGCAUUAGCGGUGACACAUAACUUUCGCGUUAUGUGUCGCCGCUAAACGCGUCGCAACUAAUGCCUAUAGAUCGCGAUCCGCGUCGAAAUAUGAGGUGAAACGUUAUUAGUCGAUUUUGUCCCUUAUCCAAUGACCAAAAAUCGAUAACAUAGAUACGAAUAGCGGUGACACCAAUAACGGCGAUGGUGUCGCUGCUGAUACUCGAAAAUUUUGACUGCCAAAGUCCCCCCCCCAAAAGGUGUCGCCGAUAAUACUCACAAAUUUUGACUAUCAAAAUUUCUCCCAAAAGGUGUCACCAGUAAUACUCUAUACGUCGUCGCUAGUACUCUGUCUGUCGCCGCUAAAAGUUGUCGCCUCUAAUUCCCUUUGUAGAUAUAACCCCCUUCAGCUCAUUUUUCCCUCUUUUUUGAACUCUUUCUCUCUAUAACCACGCCGACAACAAGAUCUGCCGAAAUUUGUUGUUGUCUGCCGAAAAUUGGCCAGAAAAUUAGUCCUACUGCCGGAAUACCGCCACCAGUGCAUCAUCACGCUUCUCCGCCGGAUUACAGACCACCACAAACAAUAUAUAUAUUUAUUUUAAUUUUUGUAUGUAGAAUGUAUAUUUUGUAAAUGUAUGUGUGUUUGUAUGUAUAUCUUGUAUGUAUGUAUGUAUGUAUGUAUGUAUGUGUAUAUAUAUAUAUAUAUAUAUAUAUAUGUGUGUGUGUUUGUGUGCGCGCGCGCGCGAGCGCGUGCGUGCGUGCGUGUGCGUGUGUUAUAUAUAAAGUAUGUGUUUUUGGUUAUAUGUUUUUAUAAGGUUUUUUAUAUUUUUAUAAUCAUAUAAAGCUUGUUUUGUAUAUGGAAUGAACGUUGUCAGAAAACUAAAAUUGGUGGCGGCACUUUAGUGGCGACGGAUAGUAUUGGCGGUGACAGGGCAUUAGUGACGACGGUAAACAUUAGCGGCCACAAUUAAAGCAUUUUAGUGGCGACGGGUCACCGCUAAAGAUUACAUUCGGGAACUUUCCAUUGGAAGGUGAUUUUGUAUUAGGAUUCCGAACUUACAAAAUCAGAAAGGUAAACAUAUAUUUUAUUAGGAUUUUUGUGGUGCAUAAUUGCUAUAUAUCUUGAUUAUAGGGGUAGUAAUAUUCGACAAAUGCAAGUUUAUCUCAGUCAAAUUUGACGUUAUUUAUGAUAGUCCACGAAUAAAGCCAGAUGAUAUCAUCUAUAAAUAAUAUCGUCUUUAAUGAUAAGAAUACACAAUUAUAUUUAUUUCUCAUGAUAUUUACAGUUUGUGUGAACCAAAGACAUACACGUUGUACAUAGUAAAUGUCUAGUUAUUUUGACAUCUUUUUUUAAGUCAAUACCAAGUAAAGUUUCGAAUAGCUUUUAAUUAUGACAAUUUUAAUAACUACUAGAAUGGAAUAUCGACUUCACUUUCUCAAGAGAACCUCAGUAACUAAUUUAUCAAAGUUGAGAUAAGACGACCCCUCAAUAGCAACUGCUUCUUCCGCUUUCUUCUUCCAUUCUAAAGCCUUACAUUUCAUCAUUUUCCCUUUCUUCCCAUCCAUCAUCUCCCUCACCUGAGCUUCAACCUCCUCUCUCUUCACAUUGGAAUCAAUUUCCAUUCCAAUCCCCCACUCUACACAACUAUACCGACAAUUCGUUUGUUGCUCUGCAAAAAACGGCCAGCAAAUCACUGGAACACCACUGCUAAUACUCUCAAUAGUCGAGUUCCAUCCACUGUGUGUUAGGAAUGCCCCAAUUGCUGGAUGCUUCAAAACCUUCAUUAUAUAUAGAAUUGAACUAUUUAAUGACUGAUUUAAAUUUAUGCGUGAUAUGGUAAGCAUAUUUCCAUCAAGGCUAAAGCUUGAACACCAUCUUAAAUGAUAUGUUUCUUAUGUAUUUAAAUAUUUUGUAUAUAGUUUUGGUUUUAUUACUCAGUGAUUAGAAAGAAUUAAUAUCACCUGUUCUUGAGGACACCAACUAGUCACCAUGCCUCUCCCUUUUGUCUCGUCAACAAACUCUGGUGGCAUCAUGGCCUCAUUGCCUCCAACAAUGUCGGGUCUUGUAAUCCACAAGAAAUCUUUCUUGCUAUUCGCCAGUCCCCACCCAAACUCGAUGAGUUGUUCUUUUGUCAUGACUGUAAUGCUUCCAAAGUUAACGUAAACAACUGAACCAGGGUCUUUUGUGUCAAGCCAACUGAUGCAACUCUCAUCUUCCUUCCAGAGGUUGGAGCCAAUGUGUUUGACCUGUUCAUUUUCAAUAUGUUGUUGCAUCAAGUGUAGAGGGCCUAUGGUGAAGGUUCUAGGAUUUAAGGCCAUUAAAGGGUUAACACUAUCAUGUUCUAAAGCAUCGAAAGUGUUGAGCACCACAGCGGAGCCUCUAGGGAUAGCUGCAGAUUCCGUGAUGAGAUAGUUCAACAUGGUGUCGUUUAUGUCUGUGGUUCGAAUGAAACUGGGGAAAUC
rnacentral:lncRNA from 1 species